rnacentral:lncRNA from 1 species
AACCAUGGAGCUGGAAUUGGUUGGUUGUUUUCGUGGCAAAAACCAAAAUGGUUCGUGUGAUAUAAACAUUGAGGGGGAGGCGGUAGCCAGACUUGCCCCUGUUCCUCAAAAUUGUUCACUUGAUCUGGAGUAUGAGUCAGAUCUGUUCAUUUGCUGAGAAGUAUCCAGAUCAAGUGGCUAGUUGAUGUUGCUGAGUAUUGAGAUAGCUGCGCUUCUAUGUGCAGGGCUUAUUGCGAGUUCAUGCCUUCCUGAAUGUCUGCAUUUUCAGCAUGCGUUGUUUAAAAGUAGAAUUAGGCCCUUAGGUCCCGUUUGGUUCUUUAGGUCUUCCUAAAAUUUAAUUAGGAGUAUUAAAUAUAGAUUAAUUACAAAAUCAAUUGCACUGAUGGUGAUUAAUUUGCGAGACGAAUCCAUUAGGCCUAGUUCAGAUUUGAUAAUGUGAGGCUACAGUAAACUUGCUAAUGAUAGAUUAAUUAGUCUUAAUAGACUAGGUUUAAUAGAUUAGCUUCCAUUUGGGUAAUUAGUUUUAUAAUUAGCUCAUGUUUAGUCCUUCUAAUUAAUUUCCGAAUAUUUGAUGUGAGUAAACAUGUGCUAAUGAUGGAUUAAUUAGGCUUAAUAGAUUCUUCUAGCCUCCAUCUAGGUAAUUAGUUUUAUAAUUAGCUCAUGUUUAGUCCUUUUAAUUAAUCUCCGAAUAUUUAAUGUGAUAGGAAUUUUAGGAGGGACUAAAGAACCAAACGGGACCUUAUAAUACUUAUAAUUUUCGAUGCAGCAACGUUCAGGUUUCAAAGAUCAGGAAAAGGCUAAUGUGGUACCUAAGAGGGUACGGUUGUUUAGGCUUGCAGGGAGCUUAUUCACUCCUGGUCACGUCAGUUCCGUGCGUUAGAGAAGGCCCUGUUCUGUUUGGCAGAGCUUCUAGGGUGAUCUGCCAAACGUUAUUUAUGUGAGGUGAUUCCCUAACAUGAUAUGGGAUCUGAAAAACACUUUAUUGUGAAAACUUCUUGCAUAAAGUCACUUUCAGUUUAUUGUGGCUACUUCCUGCAUAAAUCACUUUCUUUCAGUCACACGAAGAAAGAUAGGUCAGCCCAUUGAAUGGAUCAAUGGAAUGCCACAGUCCGGGACCAAAUUUUGCCUAUUUUGACCAAAGCAACCUCCCCUAAACCGGCGAUUCAACCUCCAACCAUAACAAAAACCCGCACGCAUUUCAACCUUCAACUCUAAAAGCGGACAUUCGCAACCUAAGACUCCAGACACUCAACCCGGACAUAAAGAUACCCCCACAGCAAUUUCGCUUUAGUUUUCAUCCUAACAUGGCUCUUGCAGAGUGGUUUUGACAUUCAUUUUCCGGUGCCACGCUCGGUACGGCACAGCCGCAGCACACGAACAGUGCCAAUCCUUUGCAUAGUUUGACCAAGGAGAAAUUUCCCCGAGCAAAAGUUCUAAUUUCAUAAAAUAUCGAAAUCACAAGAGCGCUUUGAGUGCUAUCAGUGCUGCUUAAACACUGGAUACUGGCAGCGAGGAAUCUGAAGAUCUCUUGGGCAUCGCAGCUCUCCUGCCGUUCAGAAAAUCUGUGUACCAAAUUGCAGAGCGUCUUGGAUACCUCUUCAGUUCCUUGUCUGCAAAGUCCACGUAGUAAAGGCCAUAUGUUGUGUUGAAGCCACCGGUAAGCUCGUAUAGAUCCAUCAGUGACCAGACGAAGUAGCCCUUGGUGUUUGAACCAUUCCUGCAGGGAAAAUUUUAGGUCAGAUUGUUGCAGCAUCAAUGAGAUUUUGUGUCUUUCCGCCUCAGUGAAUUUCUCCUUUCAGUUUAUUCAUCUGGAAGUACUUCAGCAACGUUUUUUUAUAAAAAGUCAUUGGUUUCAGCAAAUGUUCAAACAAAGUUUAUUAUCUGAAUUCUACACAGUAGGCAUGAAAAAACCCAAUAUUGUUUCUCCGCAUAUCUUCAGUUUAACAGUUUUGAUAUUGCAGUGCUGACCAUUAAACCCUUUUUGGUGACUAGCUACCUAAUCCAGUUCUUUAAGAAAAGGCAUGACGCACUGAAACAAUAAGUACACUAUGAUUAGUGUGUUACUGAAUGCAUCUAUGCAGUAAUUGUGUUAUGCGGAACAACAGUUCCAUGCUUUGUGCAGUAGGGCAUCAGCUUUAUAAUUCACACAGUAAACUUCUAAUAUCGUCGUUGAUGUACACUACUUCUAUAUCUUCACAUCUGAUUGAUUUCCAUGGCAUUGCAUUAAACAGGAUGAACUGCCAAAUCACUAACUAAAGAGGUGACGUGUGACUACAAGGAAGAAGGGUAAUACAGCAAUACCUGACAGAGUCCUUUAGGCUUCUAAGGUGCUCACUCAAGAAUUCCACCCUAGGGCCAUCGUCAAAUACCACAUCGUGGUUCAUUGGAUAACCUAAAAUGAAGUAUUUGGUCAGUGAUGUAAAUGUGUCGAAUAGAUGCAUAUGCAAACUCGAUGUUAUAAUACUGAAUGACGCGUUAGAAAAAUAAAACUUAUAUAACACAGGAGGCAAUAAAAAGAUACAUAAAGGUACCAAAUCGCAAGACUAUUUAUUCUCAGGAUUCAGGAAUGGUUACAAGAGCUUACCAUUCUCAUGGAUGUAGAUGGGCGGAUUGCCAUAAGAUUGCUUGAAAUAUUCAAGCGCUCCCUGGAGACCAUAAGGUGGCACAUAGAGCUGAGUAGCACCACACAUCAGCACUAUGCUAUCAUACAUUUAUGUAUGACUAAAUUUGCUUGAAAGCUUCUCUUACCUGAGUGGUAGAAUUAUUCAUAUCUGCAACAGAGAUAUUGAUUAGGCAUGAUAAGGUGGCAUGCGUUAGUUAAAUUACACUGUUAGUAUGGUGAAGUUUUAUAUGAUUGAACAGCUGAAAGAUAUGGGAUCAAACUCAUUUCAUUGUAAGAAUUAAAAUUGACAGGUGUUGUAUAAGCCACCCACUUACUGACAGUAACUAUCAGUCAGUACCAUACCAAAUCAUGCACAACGUAAUUACAGUUAGAUUAGCAACUUUAUGGAUAGCGAAACUAUUAGCAUGCACAAGCAGAGGGAUUUUUUGAAUGUCAACAAGUGAAAUAUUUUAUGAAAUAAAAGGUAAAAAACAUAGAUAGUUUUUAAGUUUCCUUAGUUGAAGAACUUGCGUCCAAAGUGUAUCUAUCUGACUUCUGACCACAACUCCACAAGCUCAUAAACAGAUAUACAUUCUACCAUUGAGUAGGAGGUAUGAAUUAUGAUAAAUAAUGAUACUCCAUGGAAAAUGGUGAAAAUCAACUAAAUUAAAAUGUUUAUAUUAGUGCUACUUGUUCCCUGUGUUUGAUCUUGCAUGAGAAUAACAAUAAAAAUUUGAAUGUAUGUUUAAGUCACUGGACAAAGCCGAGUAUGUAACUCACAUAUUGUUUUAACAUAUGUAUCAGCCAGGAAAUCCCUUUCAUUGCUAGGAGCAGCAUGUGGAUCAUCCUUCACAUACAUUAUUGAGUAGUAAUUUACACCAAGAAAGUCAACAGAAUUGAUUAAUUGUUCAGAUUGGCUGUUAGAGAAUUUUGGCAGCUUGGAACCAGCAAUCUUCUUCAUUAUAUCUGGAUAGUCUCCAUGAUAAAGCGGAUCCAAGAACCUAACAUAGAGACACAUCAGGAAUUCAGGAUUAAGAAAGUUCCACUAUUGUUCACCAUUAUUGGCACAAUGUGUCAAGAUUGAUAUUGAAAGUCUAAGUUCACAACUACACUAAAUAUAUUGAUGUUAUGUUAUCAAAUUGUGGAAAGGGCUGCAUCCAUGUGGAACUACACAGGCAUUUGCACACCACACAACAAAAUAAAGAUAAUUCUUAUAAAAAUAAUAUUAGUAAGUAUUUUCAUAGAAUGCCUUGUUAUCAGCUACACACUGAGAAAUCAAAUUAAUUCUCUUAUGCAAGUGUGUAUAUGGAGAACCAAUGUUGGACCCAGAAAUAGAUGAUAGAGGAAGCAGACAUUUAACAUAAGUCAUACUGAACAUGUUCCCCAUCACAACCAAGUCUAAUACCACCUUAUAUUUAAAAGAAGCAGUUGAGUCUUCUUUUGUCAACUUAUCUGAAUUCAUCCCACGAUUCUUGGUUGGUAAGCCUUGGCCUUUAUAGUAACUAGCAUCCCUUCUAAAGGAAAACGAAUUAAAUAAAGGAAAAGGUAGAUGCUAAAAUUGAAUUUUAAAGCAAACCGAUGUGGAGUAAACCUGGAUGUGUUUGCAUCAAGUUUUUUAAUUUUUAAUGAUCUUUACUCUUCAGGUGGCAAUUAAGGUAAGGGGUAGUUUGCAGACUUAUGUUUCAUAUUUAGUCUACUUUGUUGCAUAAUGAAAGCUAUUGGUGCAAUGAAUAAAAGUGGAAAUGGUGGCCAGUUGGCCACACUGGCAGCUCCAGGUACGGGCCUGCCCUGCCAAGAAUUUCUAUUUAUGCUUCCUUUAUCUAUGCAGUCACGCAUAUCCAAGGUUUGUAUGGGUGGGUGGGUGUGUUGUGGACAGAUUAUGGGAUACUAGAACAGCAGGAUAGAUCGGCUAACUCGCCCUCCCACAGGAGGCUCUGAGAUGCUCUCUUUUCUGCCUCCUAACCCAUAACUCACGGCUGCCUCUAUAGACUAGGCACCUAACAACCUGCUAACAAAUCUAAUCCAAAUAACUAACUAAUCUUAUCUGCUAACAAACUAAUCCUGAUCCCGCGGUACUGUUCACGCGCUACAGUACAGUGGGCUCAGGCCUAGAGCCGGUCCCACUACCAUAACAGGGUGUGGGUGUGGGUGUGUGUGUGUGGGGGGGGGGGGGUUGUAAGGGUUCUUAUACCCUCUUUUCUUCUCUAAUAUAAUGAUACACAGAUCUCCCAUGUGUUCGAGAAAAAAAAACAUAUAGAAGUUGCUGACAGAGGAAAAAUAAAUAAAUAGAGCCAGUCAACCUCGAUACAAAUGCGAUUACGCACACUGAGCACAUAUCACUUUAUUUUGCUGCAUGGUACGUACACGAACCAAAUAUAGCCAUGCACUAAUACUUUCAAAAGAACGUAUUUGUUUAAGAAGCAAGAAUAAUAGGGAGGCAAUGAUAAAAAUCGUGAAGUAGAUUCUUUGAUUAACCACAAAUGCUUCACAGAGCAUUACUAAAAUCACACCUUGUUUUUAUUUCUGACACAUAAUAUAUGUUUAGCAUAUCGAAAAAUAGACCAGGUUCCAUUGUAAUGACUCAAGAGAUGAGAUGAGAUGAAAUAUAGCAGACAAAGAGCUAGUGGCAUCUUUCAGGGCUCAGGCUAUCAAAGGUUAAUUAUUUGGGCGUUCAUCGUUUGGCUGCCUUAUAGAGUUUUUUUUCACUAAGGCAGACUAUCCAUACACCAAACAGAUGUAGGCCUCGUAAAGAUAAAAAGUCAAGAAGAUGAUCACGUACCAUCCAGUGUAGAAGGCCUUUGCUCUUUCAGUUGCAGUUAUAUCCUCUGUUGAGUUGGUUAAAGGUACAAAGUCAUAUAUAAAAAUAUUCAUGCCAAUAACUCCAUGUUGCUUUUCCUGCAGCAUAAAUAUUUAUUGGUUGCUAAAAGUAUGCAUGCUCUUUGUCAUGGAUGGAUAAUGAUGGUUUUAAAAUUCAUCUAUAAGAGUCCAAGUAGAGUUCAUAUAGCAAUUUCAGGGCAAGCGAAAGUAUAACCAACUUUCCCUAUAAAACAUGCUUCUAAAUUACCAGCAUGAAAAGAACAAAUUUCAGGGCAAGUGAAAGUAUAGAAAACUUUCCCCAUAAACAUGUUUUAAGUUAUCAGCAUGAAAAGAACAAAAUUAGCUUCGAAAUUUCAGAGCAUAAAAAUUGUUAAAAACACUAUUCAAAUAUUAGAUCUAAAUAUUCAACAAACACUUAAGGAAAUAGUACCUGAUACAUUUGCCUAUACAGUGAUACAGCUGAGCUAUGAGCCAACAAACUAUGAUGAGCUACAAUGUAAGGCUCAGUUACAGAAUUCCCAUUGGGGCAAUUGCCAAAUGGCUCAGAACACCUCCCUGGUGGUGCCACUCCAAUGUCAUAGCCAAGCAAUGCAAAAGCAUUAGGUUCAUUUAGGGUAGUCCAAUUCGUAACCCUAUCGCCAAAUUCCCUAAAGCAGACAUCUGAAUAUGCUGUAAAAUCAUCACUGGAAAAAGAAAACAGAGUUUAAUACAAAAGAAAGUUCAUAAAAGCCGGACAUGAUAUAUGUUUUCUGCAGACAGCAUAUUGUUCAACACACCUUUUUUCUGCAUGAUCAUGCAUAACAUAUGACAUUCUAUAAUGAUUGAUAAAUAUUAGUGUGCCAGCACUAACACAUCAAAUUUUUCAUCAACGAAGACAAAAUGUGUAGUGAAUGCAAAUAAAAUACAUACAUUAUUUGAGGACUCAACCAUCCAUUGUAUUCAUCUUCAAGGGCUUGAGGAAGAUCAUAUUGAAAAAGGGUAGCGUGUGGUUCAAUUCCUGCAAAUUCAUCACAAAAGUUUUUAAUACUGAAAGAGCAAUUGUAUUUUAACAGGAGAGGUACAAGCAUAUACAUAAUACAUAUCCUUCAUCAAUACCAGUCAACAAUCCAAGCCUACGGGUUCUCAAACAAUAAAAAUAAUACCCAAGUACAUCUAUAUCUUCCACUAGAAGGCAACAGAAACACAGUAAACAUCUAUAUCUACCUUUGACCUUUAAUUAAUUUCUCUUGCAAUAUGCCAAGUGCUGAAAAAUCAGUACCAUCUUAAAAUCAUUCAAACAGGUUCGAAUUAGUGCAAUGUUUGUACACUAUGAACACAAAUAAUUUGAUUAAUUGUUGGUCAAAACUUACAACAUUUGACUUUUCAAAUCAAAUAUGCAUUAAAUUGACAGAGGGAGUGUACACCGGUAGGCUGUGGGCAUCUUUAAAACUUUUUACCGAGCGCAUGCAAAAAUGUCUGUUUGCAAACAUUUGGGGUUCAUGCUAGUCAUGAUGAUGCUAACGGCUAAUAAGUAAACUACUAGGUAUACAAUAUUAGUACAUUACCAUGAUCCAGAAGUUCACUGAUAAGAUUAUUAUAGUACUCCAAUCCUUGUGGGUUGACUUCUCCUCUGCCAUCUAUGGCAUGUGAAAGGUAAUCAGUGUUACAUCCUUUUAAGAAAAUCCAAUCCAAUUAUGACAAUUUGGUAAAAGUUAAACAAAUCAUACUAGGAAUAAGCCUUGGCCAAGAGAUAGAGAACCUAUAAGCAUCCAAUCCAGUUUCCUUCAUUAGUUUUACAUCCUCCUAUAACAAACAUAAAGAAAAGGUGAACAAUUAUUAUUUAUUAACAAGCAGCUUCCCAGAAAAGGAACAGCGCUUAGCAUUUUACCCAGAACUUCUUUUUCUCAUGCCUGACAAAACUAGAGUUGGUCCUUGUUAUAACUUAGCAAAUUGGGUUUAUUUAUGCUAAAAUGUAGGCCUGCUGAAGUGCCUCAAAAUAAGUGAUACCAAUAUACUGAUCAAGUUUUACAGUCUUGCCAAUGGUAACAUACCUUACUAAAAAUACAAUAAGCUCAACUCUAAUAAGCAGUGCAACAUCCCUUGCACUACAGCUUCAACAUAAAUCACACAUAAUUAUUAACACUGAAACACUUCUGAAUAACCAUACCUUAAGGGUUAAAUAUAAGGGAAACUAUAAUAUUUGAUUGAGAAGCUAAAAUGUUUAUUCAAUAAAACUUUUUAACUCAACUAGCCUUUACUAAAGCAACCGUCUACAAAAUGCCAUCCCUCAUUUAUACAUCUCCCAAACAUUCCACUCCCUCAAAAAAUAGAACCGUGAAAAGGCUGCCUCCCAGCAAUACCCAAUAGGUUAGUUGUGAAGGGUUUGCUCAUUGAUUACAGGAGCAUUUGUGCCAUGAGACGUCAGACAACAGCAGAUAACUAAAAACUGAUAGAAUCCAUGCAUAGGAAUCAGCAUACCUUGUACUUGUGGUAACCAUUAGCUGCUACAUCACCAUCUCCAGAGUAAUGGCCUGUAUUGCAGAAUUAACUCAUGAAUGCAUAGGCUUACCCAAAUGCAGAACUUGGGGCAAAUGGACAGUAGAAAGUAUCUAUCGGUCAUGUUCCACAGAAGACCCCCCCCCCCCCCAACUAAAAUCAUUUCAUUCUGAUUGCCACUAUUAUUAGUCUAUACUGCUACUUGUGUAUAAUCUGUGUAUUCGAGAAAGCAACAAGUUUCCAAUAACUUGCACUAGCUUUAGUGCAUCAAUAGUUUUUUUUUAAUAAGCGUGCAUUUACAGUUAAACUUGACUACAAUGCGAACAAGUGCACGAGUUGCCAUUUUCUGGAGAAUCCGCAGAAUGGUGGUUCCGCUGUGCCCGUGAAAUUCCAAUCAUCAUCACGACCUGCUCUGAUGACGCCAGGGAAGGUAUCAGCGCGAGGCACGCUUACCGAUUCACAGCCCACUUGCUUUCCCACAGCACGCGGCGGCGGGGACUCUGGGUCGAGCCGCCGGCGCUUUGCGGGCAUCAGCUGGACGAGAGCAGGGGCGGUCGUGAGCUCACGACGUUGGACAGCGACGGCCGACAGCCCCCGACGCGGCGGGCUCCAUCGAAGCCUAGGGAUUAUCGGUCGGCAGACGGGCGGGGCAAUGCAGGGGUGUUCCGGCCUCCGGGGACGGCGAGACGUGCGCCGGCGGCGGAGCGGUUCCGAGUGGGGAAGGGAGAGUGAAGGAGCAGGGACUGCUCGUGCUCGCUGGGCUUUUCUUCACUGACUAACGGCCCAUAUCGAUUUCUGUUGUGCGAGCGAACGGCGAAGCGAGUGGUGUGGUCUCUCCGUCUCUGUGAGACUCUGACGUACCGGCGUGCGCGAAGGUGUCCCAGACGCUGGCCCCCCUGCCGUCCUCCGCCGCCGCGCCCUCCCACUAAACCAGAAAGAAGCCAACGGCAGAAGAAUUCAUCAGGAUAAUGCCAUUGCCAGUUGCCCGAAAUGCGCAGCUUGAGCGUCAUUAAGGGGCUGUUUGGCAAUAGGGUGUUAAAAUUUAACACCUAUCACAUCGGAUAUUUGGAUGCUAAUUAGGAGUAUUAAAUAUAGACUAAUUACAAAACUAAUUGUACAGAUGGAGUGUAAUUCGCGAGACGAAUCUAUUAAGCCUAAUUAGUCCAUGAUUUGACAAUACGAUGCUACAGUAACUAUUUGAUAAUGAUGGAUUAAUUAAGCUUAAUAGAUUCGUCUCGGGAAUUAGCACAGGGUUCUGCAAUUAAUUUUAUAAUUAGCUCAUAUUUAGUUCUCUAAUUAGCAUCCGAAUAUCUGAUAUGACACUGUUGAAGUUUAACGUCUCGUAAUCAGCGUUAGAUCCCGCGAUCAGAAAUUAGCAUCGAUCACUCACUUGGUACGCUGAUGUGCCGGCGCCGAACACGAAGCCCCCGGGGAAGUCGUCUCUGCUGAGGCCCCCGCCCAGCUCGCCGCUCCCCGCCGGCGCCGCCCAUCCCACGGCCUCAGCCGCCGCCGCCGCCGAGACGAGGAGCAGAGCAACACGCGGGGGCAGCAGCCUCGUCAUCUACUCUCGGGCUACGAGCAGAAGCAAACGCUAGCUACAGUGUGCGCCGCUGCGCGCUAAUACCCUAUCCACGUGACGAGUAGUACGAGACUACGAGUGGUGCCUAUGCCUAUGCGCCGUCCAUCCACUCGCGCGAGGUCUGACUCCAAGGCUAGCCGUGGGGGAGUGGGACCUACCACUUCCGAACGAACGAAUUUUAUUUUAAAAUUUUCCUUAAAGAAUGUUACUAGUAGUACAGUAUGCAAGAUUUCACCGUAGAUUAUUGCAGCGUUCCAAAAUCCAUAUCCUAAGCAGUCCGGAAUGAUAGUAGGAUCAGGAACAUGGAAUGAGAAACGUGGUAUGGUAUUUAUGAAAGGUUUUUACACUGAAUUAUUCUGUUCCCGGAACAUGGUCAUGUUCCACGUUCCUGGUAAAAGCCAUGCACAACAUUUUUUAGCUACGUCUCUUAUCGUAGUUUACCAAGUAACUUUUAGCCGUGGGUCAAAUUAUUAGCAAUUUAGAUUGCAAACUCAGUCGAUUUAAGAGAAUAUGCUAACAACCUUGAAAUGUGGGACAAAAUGAAUAAUUAAGGGUAGUGUUAAGUAUUUUCUCCGUUUUUUUUCUCAGUUUAUUCCAACGCUAUUGUUUUAAAAAUAAGCGAAGUAUCUAUUGGUGAGUUCAUGAAUCUCAAUAUCUUCCGGUCUGAUUUUUUGAAGGUAGGACAUACGACUGUGCGUUUGGGUUAGCCCACCCCCAACUCCUAACUUUGGCACUAUGCAAAAAGAAGAUUCUCCAUCACAUCAAACUUGCGGUACAUGCAUGGAGUACUAAAUGUAGACAAAAUUAAAAACUAAUUGUACAGUUUUGUUGUACUUUGCGAGACGAAUCUUUUGAGCCUAAUUAGUCAAUGUUUGAACAAUAAUUCACAAAUACAAACGAAACGCUACAGUAUACUACAGUGCUGUAACAGUAAUUUGGCACCUCCAAACUUUGGGUCCGUGUAUACGAGCGCACUUCGAUUUGCAGAAAAAUGCCUAGGUAGAUGCCACCUGAUUGAUGAAAAAUACUUCAUCACAAGGCCGUCCGCAUGUAUAAAAAUCAGCAAAAAAAAAUUACGAGGAGCGAAUGGUACCGGAACAUGGCGCAGGCGGCAACAAAUAAAACAGAAAAGAUCUCCCAUCUACCUGCCCUGUAACCUCCAGUCAUCUGACCAACCUUCAACUGGUUGACCACCAGGAGCACACGUCAAACUGACAGGUGGGCCCAUCAACACGACCGCCACCAUGCCCUCGGUAGAAAGCGCCUGGAAACCCCUCGCCAGCUGUGCUCCGGGUCACAGCGCCAUACCUACCUGGAUCCGGUCUUGGUGCACCGAAGACUUGUGGCCCUUCCCCUCCCGUGCUCUCGCCUCGUGGGGCCGGUCCAUGCACCCGGGGCCGCUGGCCGCUCCCGAGCGCAUCGCCACCACCCCACCCCCUUCAAAAAGGGAAGCAAAAACACUGCCACGGAAGGCGCGAGCCAUUGGAGGCAAGCCCAAAGGAGGCGGAAAGCUUGCAGGCGAAGGCGGCGCCGUCUCGGGAGGAGCCCUAGCCGGCAGCCAUGGCGCCGGGGGUAGUGGUGGUGGAGGAGGGGGAGCAGCAGCCGGAAGCGCCGCCGCCGCGGCCGCCGCUCGCCGUGGAGGCGCUCCGCGACAAGAUCGUCGAGAAGGUGAAGGCGAACCGCGUCACGCUGAUCGUUGGUGACACCGGAUGCGGUAAUCGCCGGGGUUUUCUUUCUCCCAUUCCCUCCUAGAUCGGUUCGACUGUGUGCGUCUCUGCUGGUUCGUUGCGAUGAGGCCUUUUUUCUGCUUUUGGGGUUUUGUUGAGGCCUGGAAACGAAAAUUAUAUGCAUAUUUUAGAUUUUUGUUGGCUAGGUUUUCAUGAAACUUUUAUUUUUCCUUCGUUUGCUGUGGUUUUGGAUGGGGUUUCUGUCGUAGUGGGGAGAAACUCGAUGGGUUUUAGCAGUCUGAACUUUUAUUCAGGUUGUUUCCUCAGUUCUCUCUUUAUUAGUGUUUUCUUUCUCUUUUAAUAUUUUUAUGCCUGUGUGAUGUUACCUUCUGUACCUUACAGUGAAAUUUGUACUAGUCUUCUCUUCACAUUUUAUAUUUUGAUUUUGAUGCCUGUGUGAAGUACAUUCUACCUUAUAGUGCCUAAAUUCACCGUAUGGGGUUCGAAUUUCAGAUUCAGAAUGGAGAAUGUUGGGCAAGAUGCAAUUGUCUUGUAAACAAACAUUGAUUUUUAUUUAAUCUACUAAUGUAUUCACUUUUCUGUUUUGUUGCAGGGAAGAGUUCUCUAGUGCCCCAGUUCCUCUUAGAAGAAAAUAUGGAACCCAUUCUGUGCACACAGCCUAGAAGGUUUGCAGUUGUAGCAAUUGCUCGAGCGAUAGCGGAAUCUCGCAAUUGGCAGCUAGGCGAGGAGGUUGGAUAUCACAUAGGGCACUCAAAUGUGUCGGAUCUCAACUCUAAAAGGUACUUAACUCACAGUUACACGGUGCCAUUGUUCUAGAGAUAUUUGACUGCUCUCAAGUCUCACACUCUCACUUAUCACACAAUACUCAGCUAGUCUGCUAAUUAUCGGAGCACCCUAGUCUGCUGAUGUGGUAGGGGCCAAAUUGGUGUUUCUGAGUGUUACGUUGCUUGUCUGACUAUCAAUCAGCAUGCUUGACAAAUGCUUUCUUAUCAGGCACAUUAGCUUAGUCAUAGCUUGUGCUCUGGUUGUUGGUGGACUGCUUGGCUCCAAUAUGCUAGGGUGCUAAGUUUCUUCAGGAAGGAUAUCCUGCACUUAAGCAUUUUGGGUUGGUGCUCCAGUAAGCUUUUAAGUGUGCAUUGAUCCCCUCGGGUUCGUACCUCAAGCAUCUGUCACGAAUGCAAACUUGAUUGAAGUCUUGUGGGUACAAUUAAUCUUAUUUUACCCUCCCUAUCCUUUUCAACUGCCAAUUAAAAAAUUAUCCUUGCUAGAACCCUAAACCCUGAUCCUGAAAACAUUGCAUUUUAGACUCAGUGCUCCUUUAUUCCAUCUUUUCGUCUUGGCAUAUCUUUCUAAUACUAUUUUUCAAAGACCAGAGAUGAAACCCUAUGUUAUCAAGAUACCACCACAGGGCAAUGGCCAAGACAUGUGGGGCCUUGGUCGCACAUGUCAUCGAUACACUGUAUGGGACUUCUCAGUUUUACAUGGACACGGCCUGACUCGGUGUGGGUGUAUGGUUCGGCGGAUCUUUUGAGGAGAUGCCAAAGAGCACUUUAGAAUCUGACAGGGGUGUCAGAGUCUGACAUGGUUGAAUUUCAGUGGGUGUUAUUUAAUAUUUUUUAACAUACUCUUCUGUCAAUAUUGACCACCACCAUUCAUUGAUAGCUUCCUUGCUAUGAAUUUUUAGUAGCUUGCCUUCUUACUUGGGUAUUUGAUUUGCCUGAACUGGAUGAUCCAUUUUUACCUACUUAUUGAUUUUGUACUCAAUCCUGUUAUGAUACAUUAUUGACUUUCUACUUAGUUGACAUGUGAAUCAGGUCCAAAAUUGUGUUCAAAACAGCUGGUGUAGUAUUGGAGCAAAUGUGUGAUAGGGGAAUUGCUGCGUUGAGGUAUAAGGUCAUUAUUCUUGAUGAGGUACAUGAAAGAUCUGUGGAAUCUGAUCUUGUCCUUGCUAGUAUCAAGCAGUUUUUGAUGAGAAAAAGUGACUUAAGGUAAGUACUGUAGUAAUGUCCACUAGUGCACACAUUAUGUUUGCCUAUUAGCAGUAAUGUUCCUGUCUCACAAAAUAAACAAGUAAUUGCCUACCUGCUGGUUGAUAUGCCACCUUGUCACUCUUGGCAGGUUGGUUUUGAUGUCUGCCACUGCUGACAUUACAAGAUAUAAGGAAUAUUUUAGGGAUUUAGGAAGAGGUGAAAGGGUUGAAGUGAUUGCCAUUCCCAGCAGUCCACGUACAAACAUUUUUCAGAGGAAAGUCCUAUACCUGGAGCAGGUAAAUAUUGCGUUUCUUAUCUUCGUUCAUCAUAUAUCAUUAAACUUACAAUUAACCAAUUAGCAUGAUGUGUCUUCAAAUCUUAAGAUGUCUGAUUGCACCACAAGAUGAGUUUAAUUCUGUAUUUACAAUUACUCUCCAGCUUUUUAUGAUGACUUACCAUUGUACUGCUGAUCCCAUGUAAAAUUUGCCAUUUUCACAAAUUAUAUUAUUGACCUGCUAAUAAAACACGUUGAUGCACUUCAUGUUUGUCAUUAAUGUCAGUUUCAUUACUUUGCCAACUUCAUUAUUGUUGCCAUAAGACUUCAUUUUCUGUUCCAUCACCUGGUUUGUGUUUUUAAGAUAGAUGGUAAUUUAUAUUCAUCUCCUGAAGCUUGUUUCCUCUGUUAAUUAUAACCUAUUACAAUUUAAUUCUUUUCAGAUUGCUGAUAUUCUCAAGAUAAAUUCUCAAUCGCUUUCAACAAAAUAUUGCUCUGGCCUGGAUGCUUCUGCUGAUGCUGAAAUUAACUAUGAUGUUUAUGAACUUAUCCACAAGUUAUUGUUGCAUAUACACCAAAGUGAACCAGACAUUGGCAAGAGUAUUCUGGUUUUCCUCCCUACAUACUACGCAUUGGAGCAGCAAUGGAUCCGUCUGCUACCUUAUAGUUCAACCUUUAAGGUACAUAUUCUUCAUCGGAGUAUUGACAUGGAUGAAGCUCUUCAAACUAUGAAGAUAUCAAAGUCUUGCCGAAAGGUAUACAGCCUAUCAUAGUUGUAUUUCUUACCUUUAGAGUCUUGCUUCAAUUUCUAAAAGCUAUGUGGUGCCAGCAGCCAUGAGGCAUAAUGAUAUUAUUUACGGAAUUUCCUUUUUCUACUCCCUCAUUUUCUUUUUAUAAGGUGCACAUGUAUUUCAAGAUUCAAACUUCAUGAUCUUCUACCAGAAAGUUGCUCAAGAGUUUUUUUUAGAUUGUUAGAUACCAUUCAGUGAUCGGUACCAUUGUAUUCAGAUAUACAUUUAGUCUCACAUGAUUUCAAUUUUAUGGUCAUGGGCUAUGUCACAGGAAGAGAUUAACAGUCAAAGUGUAGCAUUGGAGACCACACCAGGUCAAAUAGUGGCACACAUUCUGAAUGGACGGAGUAUGUGUUACAUGUCUCAGUUACAUGUCAUUCCUGAUUAGCUGUUGAGUUUUCUUGUAUAUGUUAAUUUUCACACCAGCAUUUUACGUGUUUCCUAUCCUGUAAAGGGUAAGGGGAACUAAAUACAUCUUUGGUCCAUCUAGCCUCUCACACUUCACCAUAUAUAACUCCAACAAUUUAAGCACCCUUACCUUAAUUAGGCUAGUGAUUGAGGGGGUAUUAUAACCAUUGUACCACCGCCUUAAUUCCUUUGCAUUAGUUGGACUUACAUUGGAAGGAGUACUUUUUACAAAGGAGAAUGGCUUGAACCAAUAACCUCAACCACUGUAAUCUUGGGCUUGACUGGACUACAUGGGAACCUCAUAACAGUUUAAAAGAACUUUGUUUGGAUGCGGUUUUGUAUUGAGAUGAUUAAAACAAUCCGCUGUUCCCAAUAGAGCGAAUGGAAGAUCCUUUCCUCUGAGUUUGUAUUUUUCUUCUUUUCUGCAGGUGAUACUGGCUACAAACAUUGCUGAAUCAUCUGUUACUAUCCCAGGAGUUGCAUAUGUUAUUGAUUCUUGUAGAUCAUUGCAAGUCUACUGGGACCCAAUUAGGAAAACAGACGCAGCUGGGCUUGUUUGGAUUUCAAAGUCUCAGGUAACUCCACAUAUAUUACAAUGUUUUUCUUGUUCAAUUUUACUUUUGACCCUGAAACUUUUUGUCACUAUUCUUUAAUCUUUUCCUAGGCUGAGCAGCGUAAAGGCAGGACAGGACGAACCUGUGAUGGUCAGAUUUAUCGUCUGGUGACUGGAACGUUUUAUAGCAGUUUAAAUGAUCAUGAAUAUCCUGCCAUUUUAAGAUUAUCCUUAAGGGAGCAAGUGCUCAUGGUUUGUUGUGCAGAGCCCAGAUCUAUGAAUGACCCUAGCGGUAAUUCUUUUUUUUCUGCAGCUAAGCCACCUUUUAAUUCAUGUUUGUUUUUGUGAUUUUGUAGGGUUAUGUUCGUUGUUUUUUCUUUGAAGCAAUCUUAUAUCUAUGAUUAUCCCUGGUGAUUUUGUCACUGAACUUUUUACUUAUCACACAUUCGAAGCACAACUUUGACAAUUCAAUUCACAAUUCCAUAUUUUUUUGUUAAAUCACAAAAGAGUUAAUACACCAUGGAGAUACUUCCAAUGAAGAAUACAUUAAUAAUGCUAUAUUCAUGUAAUUAGUCCAAAAACUUCUUUGUGUUUUAAUGGUCCAAAUUUUUGCUACCUAUUUAGGUUAAGAUGAAACUCUCACUAUGUUUUUUUUUCUCCAGCACUUCUGCAAAAAGUUCUUAACCCACCAGAUUCAGAUGCUAUUGAAGAUGCGUUAGAAUCACUUGUUCAAAUUCAUGCAUUGGAGAAGACAGGCCCUGGACGCUAUCAGCCCACUUUUUAUGGCUGUUUGCUCAAUAGUUUGCCAUUGUCAUUUGAUUCUUCUGUUCUUACCCUAAAAUUUUGUGAGCUUGGUGCUGUCCAUGAAGGAAUUCUGAUAAGCAUUUUGUUGGACAUCCAGCCGCUUCCUAUCCUGCAACCUUUUGGCUAUCAAGCACUGGUAUGUUUUGUUGAGUUAUAGAUCAUCGUUUAUCUCCAAUUCGCAAUGUUGUGGUAGUUAUUCCCUAUUAUCUGAUUUAUAGUGCCAGAAGUAUAGAGACAAUUACUUCAAGGAAAAUGGCAGUGUACAAAUUGGCAAAAAGGAAGCUACUACUGUUGGAAAUCUUUGUGCAUUCCAAUUUUGGGAGCGUGUAUUGAAGGUAUAUCUUUUUUGUAAUAAUCGCUGUGCAUAUACAUUGGUCAUUCAGGCAUUUGGUUGUUGCUUUAUUUUUUUUGCCAACAUUCCAUGCCAUGCUAACAUAUUAGACAUUAUUUUACAUCUUCAUCAAAGGAUAAAAAAUGCACAUGAAAUUUUUAUUGUCUGUUAUUUGGGAUUAGAUUUCUCAUCUUAUGUUUCAGGACAAGCAUCGUCUGGAUUAUCUAAAAGAUGUGGCGAACACUGAAGAAUCAGAAGAAUCACAUACCUUCCUUGCUAAACCUGAAGAGGAGUGGUGUGCAAUUCAUAAUCUUGUCCCUGCAGCGUUUAAGAACAUAUCUGAAAUUUGUAUGUUCUUUCCCUUUACUUUUUUGAUUUGUGAGCGUAGGUGCUCCUAAUACAAUAUUUAUUUUUACAUUUCGUAGUGCCUUAGUUACGCCAUUUUUCUUGCCAUUUACAUUUUCCAAUAUAUUUUGGAAAAUUUUACAGGAGAUAGUAGAAAAGGUAGCUUACUGUUCGGCUUGGAACUAGCUUUUGUUCAAACAAAGUUUAAUUGGUGUGAGGAUUUACUCGGAGGAGUGCAAGUUAUUUCCAUACAAUACAAGUGCCAUAUGUCAGCUAACUAGUUCUUUUGAACAGAUGAUGAUGUUAUGCAGCAACUGCACCGUUUUCGACCUAGUUUUCUUGUCAAAAUAAAUCCUCCGAAGCAUCUUCAGCCUUCUAAAUUCAACCACACGUGUCUCCAUCAUGAAACACUGGAGCUGGAGGAGGAUAUGAAUUCACUCUCAUUAGAGGCUGAGAAUUCUCACUGCGAUUUACCUAAGCGGUGUGCUGCAACUCCAUAUGUUUCGCAAACUGAUUUUGGGACCACUAUCAUUGUUGAAAUGCUGAAGACACUUGUCAAGGAGGUGUGUUCUAAUCAAUGAACCAAACACACCCUAUGAACAUUCUAUAUAUGGAAUGCAGUGUGAUUUAUUCUCUGUGCUACCCAUAAUGGUUGUUAUUUGCUCCACAGAUUAAGGUACAACAUGUCGAGGAAAAGAAAGUUUCUUAUAAGGGACCGCUUGGUCCUUAUAUGAAGCCAACCUUGGGAACUGAGGCGUGUGUGUUCUUUGUUAAUGGAUCAUGCAAUCAAGGGGCUGCAUGUCGCUUUUCUCAUUCAUCCUUUGCUCCUAAACCAGCAUGCAAGUUCUUUCUCACAUUACAGGUACGAUUUUGCAUAUUAAAUGUUCAUGGUUGAUGUUUCAUGUUUUAUUGGCUCAUGUCUUCAUCAUUCUAAGUUUGUAGCCUGAGCUGCCAAUUUGGGUUGUUUUCUUGUGCUUCUAAUAGCAAGUUCUUGUCAUAAUAUUUCUGAAUGAAAGAAUUCAAUGCAACAAACUGAAUAAACUACAAAUGACUCUGUUUUAUCUGGCGUAGAUUUGUAUUUUCUUAAAUGCAGGGGGUACCGAGUUAUACCAGAGAAUGAUACCACUUACCACUAACAUUCCUCUGUUUGAGUCGUCUGACGUUCUCUUGCAUCAGGGCUGUCGUCAUGGUAACUCUUGUCCGUACUCACAUGAUACUGGCUUCUUGAUUUCUACGCCUAUCACAUCUGGAAUAUGCUCUCAAGAAGGCAGAGCCACUUCACUAUGUUGUACAAGGUUGUUUCCUGCUGAUGGAGAUGGGCAUAUUCUUAUCCUGAAUGAUAAAAACCUGCAGUUCACUAGUAAGCUUAGCCUGUAUUAUGAUGCCUGUAAGAUUGUUGCUGGUACACCUGGUCUGCAGCCUGUUGAGUCCCAUUCAGUUCCAAAGGGCCUCAAGAUACUCCAAAAUGUGGCUGAUCCAUCUAGUCUAAUCACUGGACGUGACCAUAAAUUACCAGUUCCUUGGACAAAACUGAAGCGAGUUUUCUGGUUUGCUGAUUUUGAUAACGAAGAAUCAGCCAGUGAGCAGGCUCUCUUGCAGAAAUUAUUUGAGAAUAUGGCCAUCAAGAUCUUGUCAGAAAGGCUGUCUGACCUGAAGGUCAUCUUGAUCAUGAAAAACACAAGAUACAUACAGUUUCAGGUACGCCAUUCCUCAAGGUUCAUAGCAAAAUUCAAAAUGUGCCUUGGCGCAUUGCAUCCAACUGUAGUGGACAGGUGACGAUAAGCUCCCUGCGAAAUAUAAUUUUGCCACUAAUUUUUUCAGGUGGAAAGGUUGGCGAGGGAAUGCUUCUUUUCCCUCAGCGAAUCAUUUAUGUUUGAUGAAGCAACUCUGGGAUGGUUCUCGGACAUAUCCAGGCAUCCAAGAGGGAUGCAAGUCUCAGCACCAGUCACCUACAUCUUCAACAUGCAUCCUCCCUCCGUGACCCAGUUUGGUGAUUAUCCAGCCGAGCUGCGCAAGGCGCUAAGCAAGAAUUAGCUAGGCCAGGUUACCCUCCUCGUGAAUAGCUAGUGACACCGGAGUGUCUCGUAGUGAACCUUGUUCGUGGUAUCGGCACUGAAGACCUUAAGUGCUUAACACGUUUUAAGUUAACUCUACUUUAUCGUUUGCUUCGAUGUCCUGGACGCCUAAUCACUUGUCAACUGUCCUCUCUUAACCUGCUUAUUGUACAUUGCUUGCAAAUACUCGUUUGCAGGCGCAAACUGCUUGACCUUGGUACCUUAAGGUUAACGAUGCUUCAGGUCGCUGCUUGAUGGUGAGAUCAACACUUCGGAGAAAGUCGUGCAUGAUGCUUUUCGAGCAAAAGCUGUUGAUGAUACUUUAGAACCUGAUUGCUUCAGCUUUGUAUUCCUAACAUCUAAUUGCUGGUUAUGGAUUCUAAAAAAGCUGUAUUUUUUUAUUCUUUUGAGAAUAAAAAAGCUGCGUUCCUAAAGUUGCAACAGCGUGUACCUUAACGAUACCAUCUGCAGCGUGCAGGCCAUUACACGCAAAAUUACGCUCAAACAGAACUACCAUAUAACAAAAUUUGGGAGCAAUCUUCUCGCAAAAAAUUGGGAGCAAUCUGUAACCUGGUUAUCUGGAGAAUAGAUGUCCAGGUAUCCUUUGGCAGGCCGCCAGGCCGGGUUUUGUGAGAUGGAUUGCAGUGCUUACGCUCUCCCUGUUUACACUGCAGUUGAUGCGGAAAAAAGAAGAAGAAAAAGAAAUUGUCGUGCUUGACCUUGACCCAAAUCGAGUCCUUGCUCUAUUUUAUUAUGACGUGGCCAAAAAAUGUGCUGACCUUUUUCUAAUAACUAAAGUUAUUGGGCCAAAUCAGCUCCAUUUCUCCUUUCUAACAUUUAAUCCGGCCUGGUCCAUGCUAAAGACGAUCAGGCCGAGCCACGACCGGCCCACUCUCCCGCCACUAAACCCUAAACCCUUCCCGUUAAAAACCCCCUUCCUCCGUUGCCGCCACGCCGCCGCCGCCCACCUUUCCCCUCCGCCGCGAAAACCCUAGAAACUACCCAACCCCCCGGCCCGCCGCCAUGUCGUCCGCGACGCCGGCCGUCGCGUCCCCCGCCUCCGAGCAAGCCAAAUCGAAGAAGAAGAAGCACAAGUCGAAGGACGACCCUGCCGCCGCCGCCGCGGCCGACCCGCCGUCGCUCGCUGAGGCCGAGGAGAAGACCGAUGGCUACCUCAUCAAGCCCCAGGCCCUGGUGCCGUCCCUCGACGCCUCCACCUGGCCGCUCCUCCUCAAGAACUACGACCGCCUCAACGUCCGCACCGGCCACUACACCCCGCUCCCCUCCGGCCACUCGCCGCUCAAGCGCCCCCUCGCCGAGCACCUCCGCUACGGCAUCAUCAACCUCGACAAGCCGUCGAACCCGUCCUCCCACGAGGUGGUCGCCUGGAUCAAGCGCAUCCUCCGCGCCGAGAAGACCGGCCACAGCGGCACGCUCGACCCCAAGGUUACCGGCAACCUCAUCGUCUGCAUCGACCGCGCCACGCGCCUCGUCAAGUCGCAGCAGGGCGCCGGCAAGGAGUACGUCUGCGUCGCCCGCUUCCACGCCGCCGUGCCGGACACCGCACGCGUGGCCCGCGCGCUGGAGGCUCUCACCGGCGCGGUGUUCCAGCGUCCGCCGCUCAUCUCUGCGGUCAAGCGUCAGCUCAGGGUGCGGACCAUCUACGAGAGCAAGCUCCUGGAGCACGAUCCCGAGCGCCAUCUCGCCGUGUUCUGGAUCUCUUGCGAGGCAGGUACCUAUGUCCGGACUCUCUGUGUGCACCUUGGGUUGCUUCUUGGUGUCGGCGCCCAUAUGCAGGAGCUGCGCCGUGUCAGGUCGGGGAUCCUCGGGGAGCAGGACAACAUGGUGACCAUGCAUGAUGUGAUGGACUCGAUGUGGUCGCUUGACAACCACAAGGAUGAGUCCUACUUGAGGCGUGUUGUGAUGCCGCUUGAGGUACUGCUUACUAGCUACAAAAGGCUUGUGGUGAAGGACUCUGCCGUGAAUGCUAUAUGCUAUGGUGCUAAGCUUAUGAUCCCUGGGUUGCUCCGAUUUGAGAAUGAUAUUGAGAAUGGGGAGGAGGUGGUUCUCAUGACGACAAAGGGUGAGGCGAUUGCAAUUGGUAUUGCUGAGAUGACUACUGCUGUGAUGGCCACCUGUGACCAUGGUGCAGUUGCAAAGAUCAAGAGGGUAGUGAUGGACAGAGACACAUACCCGAGGAAGUGGGGGCUUGGCCCGGUGGCACUCAAGAAGAAGAAGCUGAUUUCUGAAGGUCUCCUUGACAAGCAUGGGAAGCCAAAUGAGAAGACCCCAGCUGAGUGGCUUAGGAAUGUGGUGCUUCCAACUGGUGGUGAUGUUGCAAUUGCCAGCAUUGCAGCUGCUCCUGAGCCAGAGAAGGUGAAGGUGGAACUGGAGGCAGCUGUGACUGACGAGGUCAAGGAGAAGAAAAAGAAGAGGCAGAAGGAUGAGGAGGACAAUGAUGCUGAUGCUUCUGUUCCUUCAAAGAAGAUCAAGGUUGAGGAAGCUGCUGAGACAGUUGAAGGGGAGAAGAGUGAGAAGAAGAAGAAGAAAAAGAAAGACAAGGGUGAAUCAGGAUCAGCUGAGGCCGUGGAGGUCAAGGAGGAGGUCGAUGUGGCAGAUGAGAAGGGCAGCGGGAAGAAAAAGAAGAAGAAGAAGAGCAAGGAAGGAAGUGAUGCUGCUGAUCCAGAGAGUGCUCAGAAUGGAGAAGCUGAGAAGAGUGAGAAGAAAAAGGAGAAGAAAAAGAAGAGCCGAGAUACAGAGGAGGCACAAUAGGUGUAGUUUAUGGUGGCUGGCUACCUUCUUUGUUUGGAGUUGCGGGGGGAACUUGAAAUCCCUUUCUUGCUUUGUAUCCCUUGCAACUGCUGUGGCUAAUGUACCAUUCUUAGGUUAUUACUUAUUACUAUUCUACUGCCUUGAACUGCUAUGCCAAGUGGUGACAUUUUCAUUGAAACUCUUGAACAAUGGCUGUAUUUUUGUUUCUGUUAUCAGAUAAUGCAAUGAGUUCUCCCGUCUUGACUAGCAGGGCACUCAAUUGAUAUUUUGAGCAAUCUGUGGUUAUUGUCUGAUUUGAACAUUUACACCAGACUCAGAGUAGCUUCCGGUGAUGCUAUAGCUUGUAAUGAUAUGAGAACCUUAUUCACAUUAAUGUUGCUACUUUGGUUCACACUAAAUACCCUGCUUUGCUAAAUGUCUCUUGGCCCUUGAGAGGUACACUCGGUCCAGGGUGCAAAGGGAUGCUUGUGGUGCAGUGCAGAACUCCAGACCAUUGAUUUUGCCAUCUUCUGCCUUAAUUCUUAGGAUGGUCUUAUUAUUUCAUAGUGUUUGUUGAGUUCCGCUUAAUAAGAUCAUUGCUAACACGUCGCCCUAAUUGCAGUUGGUUCUAAGGCAACAUUCUUUCCGUUUCUUAUACCAUGGUUUGUUCAGACUAAGUGUUGGUAAUUUUUUGUGCGUUUGGAGUUUCCUUGCGACCUGGAGGGAAAUAAUAGUUUUGUUAGGUAACAGGUUUUCGUGUAAUCUUUGCUUUACUUGGUUGUGCCUUCUACUGUUGACUUUCUUGGGUGUGAUUGUGGUGGCGUUUUAAGAAAUUUUACCAUGUGGGAUUCACAUUUCAGGCUGAAUUGAUAGUCUUAUGGGGAUUUCACCUCUACAGGCGCAGAACAUUUUUUUCUUUGGCAAUCAAAUUUAAUUUCAUUCAACAAAGGUGUUGUCAAUUUGCUUUUCCUUUGCAGGAAAGAGUUCAGAGCCCCACUUCCCAUGCGCAGUCUAUCAGGUUUGCAGUGGUAGCAAUUGCUCAAGCAUUGAUAUAUCUCCCAAUUGGCAGCUAGGCGAGGAGGUUGGAUAGCUCAAUUCUAAAAGGUACUUUUAACUCACAUUUAUCUAAUAACAUCUUCUAGCAGAUAUUUGGCGGUUGGAUAUGCAUCAUUAUACUCUUUUAUUUUUUACUUUUACUACUGCUCUCAGUUAUGAAUAAUCACUCAAUGUUCAGCCACUAUAUGCAUCUUUACUAUGUGUAUUUAUACUUUAUAUUGUGAUUGAUUGAACAUGGCUAAUUUUUCUUAGAACCUUAGUCUGCGCUGAUGCUGUAGGGGCAAAACUAGUGUUGUUGAGCACACUUCACUUCCCUGACUAUCAUCCGGCUUGACAGUUGACACACCUUAGUCAUAGCUUGUGCUCUGCUUCUCUUGCUGGACAUGGGCACUUGCUCCAUUGUGCUACUUCAAAACCUUGAGGGAGCAUACCCUGUACUCGCGUAUUUUGAAUUGGUCCAAGGUGCUUUGGAGUUUGGAUGUGCUGUGCAUAAGUACCCUAGGGAUUGUUCUUCAAGAGGGGUUGGAGACCGGUACUAAAAGAAAGGGAAAACACUUUCAAAUACUUUUCCAUCAUUCUAAAAUAUAUACCUUACAUUGAUGGACGUAGAGAGUAUUAAACAGUAGGGAGUCUUAUUUCUUUUGACUCGUGUUAUCUAAACUUUUCUUAACUAUUUGGAUAUCUAAACGGCUUCAAAUUCAAAAAUUUCAACAAAGAUGUAGAUCUUGGUUGAACCUACAAUUUUCAUAAGCUUGUCUCCAUUGUCUAAGUCCAUAUGCAUACUUUGUGAAUUUCCAAAAUAAUUUAUAACCGCGGGAAAGUAUUCGUGCCAGCUAUAAAAAAAAAGCCAGCACAUAAACUUAUUGGCUGGUGUAUAACACUUAGACCGAGCAAACCUGAGCCCGAGCCGGCAAAAAGCCCAGUUUCUUUCAGGCCCAAAAUAUCCACCCAAGCCCGCCCAUUAACUUCACCGGGGGCCCAAUUCAGGCCAGGCUUGAGCUCAGGCUGGCCACCCAUUAUUUUCUAGUGUAAAUUUAAUUCAUUUUAUUAUUCGGGCUGGGCUCGAAUCCACCCAUUUUUUCGGGCCGCGAAAAUUAACGCCACGCCUGGCCCUAAAUGAGUGUCGGGCCGGACCUAUUUUGCUCAGGUCUAACACUUGGAGGAUUUCUUGCCGCUACCUCUUACAAUGUUGUAUGCUAGCUCUAAUAUUACUGGUAUGGAUGAACCUACCUAAGACGAUGAGUGUUCGAGGCUCCUAAUAAGAGCAGAAUUUAUUAGUGAGUUCGUACAUUGUCGACGUUCAGGCCUUGUUUAGUUGGCCAAAUUGGGAGGUGCCAAAUUACUGUGCUGACACUGUAGCACACUGUAGCGUUUCGUUUGUAUUUGUGAAUUAUUGUCCAAACAUUGACUAAUUAGGCUCAAAAGAUUCGUCUCGCAAAGUGCAACAAAACUGUGCAAUUAAUUUUUAAUUUCAUCUACAUUUAGUACUCCAUGCAUGUACCACAAGUUUGAUGUGAUGGGGAAUCUUUUUUUUGCAUAGCGCCAAAGUUAGGAGUUAGGGUGAAGUAAACAAGGGGUCAGUUGAAUUGUUUGAGAGUUAAGUAUGUCCAGUAAACUAACAGCUCUCCGUAGACACGUAAUACUCAUACCACUUUUCUGUGCCGUGUCAACUUGAUGACAAAUCACUGCCGCACCAUUCCCCAUGUAUAGGAUGAUAUACUGCUAGUACAAUAAGCAGUACUAGAUGCUAUACGAUGGUUGACAUUACAAGUUGUUAUUCAAGUCAACGGAUGAGAACUGUACGUGGCAGGGACACGUAGUAAGUGUAUGAAGAAAGACGCCCUAAUAUUUUGCAUGCAUGCACGUACUCCAUGGACACCUCGCCCUCCAGCUCCAUGUUCGUCGCAUGCCAUGCUCUCUUCUUCUCCAUGAAAAAGCGAUGGCCCUCUUCAAUCCCAGCCUAUAAAUACAUCACCUUAACUAUGCACACAAAAUUCCACAAGCCAGAGACGCAGCUAUACCUUCCUCUAAGUGCAGUCGUACCUAGAGCUCUAUAGCAACAGCUAGAACACCCAACCAUGGCAGCCAAAUCCCCUGCUUUCCUCGUCCUCCUGACCAUCACCAUGACGCUCAUCUUCUCCGUCUCAGUUCAUGGAUGCGGGCAGUACAGCUGCUCCAGCCCACCGCCGCCUGCCGUGCCAACCCCACCGGGGGCUACGUGCCCGAUCAACACGGCUGACCUCAGCGUCUGCGUCGAUUUGCUAGGGUACUUGCUCAAGAUCCGGUUGAACGCUCCUCCACAGCCAUGCUGUACGCUGCUCAAAGGCGUUGCCAAUGCUGAUGCAGCGCUCUGCGUGUGCGGGGUCAUCAAGGUUCUCAACCUUAUUAGUGUCCCGGUCGAUGUCAAUCUCCUUCUCAACGAGUGUGGAAUGACAUGCCCUCCUGGGUUUACCUGCCCACUCUGAAGCGUGUGCCCGUUCACAUGCUAAUGCGUGCUAGUAACCGUGAAACCUGUCUCACUGUCUGCACAAUUGUUUCCAGGUUGUAUCUUCGAGAGUCGACACCUAUAGGCUAUAGCUAUACCUCAAGCUAGCAAUAGGUUGUUACGAAUAAGUUAUUUUUUUUUCUUUUUAAAAUCUAUGUAUGCCUCCUGUAAUAUUGUCUUGGUGUUUUGUAUGUGCAAGUUUACUUAUCUUAUGAUAUAAUAAAGAGAGACGAUUCAUGGUUUCACUGUUGCCAAAAGUUGUGUGACUGUGACCCUGGGUCUCGAACAAUUUUUGAUCGCGGCAUGAAGUUACUUUGUGUUUUGUUUGGCUCAAGCAAGCAUGCAUAAAUUCAAAUGCUACCUUUCUCCUUACGACGUGGCUUUUUUUUAUCGAAGUGAGUACCAUUUUUUAUAUAAUUAAUUUUUUAUUCCAGACUCGUUUAAUUUUUUCUACGGGGAGUGGAACAUGCCCAUAGUUCAAUUUGGUGAAGGUAGGAACUUCAAUGGUUAAGGCCUGGAUUGGUUCUUUUGCUUAUUUUUAAGCACCCGUCACAUCGAAUGUUUAGAUACUAAUUAGGAGUAUUAAACGUAGACUAUUUACAAAACCGAUUACAUAAGUGGAGGCUAAACGGCGAGACGAAUCUAUUAAGCCUAAUUAGUCCAUGAUUUGACAAUGUGUUGCUACAGUAAACAUUUGCUAAUGAUGGAUUAAUUAGGCUUAAUAGGUUCGUCUCGCUGUUUAGCCUCCACUUAUGUAAUGGGUUUUAUAAAUAGCUUACGUUUAAUACUUCUAAUUAGUAUCUAAACAUUGAUAUGACACUUGCUUAAAAAUAAGCAAAGGGAACCAAACGCCCCCUAAAUUUAGUUCCAGAUAGUGUCCAAGGUGAUUGGAAAUGCUAGGUUGUUGAUGCAACUGUCUCUUUCUGAAUCAAAGUACAGCGCGAAUUUUCUCUCACGAAUCAGAGGUAGCGAUUCCUAGCAGGAUACGAAACAGAGAGAACUGGAAAGCGGCGAAAACCAUGCCCAUAUCUUAAGAAUAGGAUCACCCUCUCUGCUGGCCUACCACUAUCCUCAUUGCUAGUAUGACAGAAAUCUAGCAUGAUCAUUAGACGGUCAAUCAGGCGUGCAAACUACUACAAGAUUCAAGUCUUGUGGCUACAAUCUUUGCAUCUCAAUUUGUAAAAUCUGAUAUUAGCCAAAAAUGCCGAUCAAUCUCCCGUGAAGGCGUGCACCUUACACGUCACGUUAGCAUGUAUAUAUAGUCUUAACACAUCCUGAGCUCGUUGAUUCCUUAUUAUUGCAAAUUUAAAGUGUGCUAUGACUCAUCACAUUUAAGGCAUAGACCAUUUUUGUCUCUCCCGUGGCAAUACGGAUCGCGUUCGAACGGGCACCUUCAUGUCCAACGUGAACAAAGUUCCUCUUAGGAAGGGAAAAAAAAAUGAAAACAUAUCGCGCUGACGCUCUCCGGCUCUCUGCAACACACGCUCUGCCUUAACCGUGCUUGUUCACGCGUGCGUACAGCUGACCGCGCUAGCUGACUGCGCGAGAGCACACGCACUGACGCACGCCUUGGGUCGCCGUCGGCCAUCCUCGUCGCUGCGCCGUAGCAGAAGGCCGGCAUGACCAGCCUUUGCCGCUCUACCACCAACUGGGCCGCCGUCUCAUUAACGGGACCCUGAAGCAAAAGCGGCCCAAGCUAGCGUCGGACUCGAUCGGUGGGGGAGGAGGAGCUGCUCGGCUGCGGGCGUAAGUAAGGGAGAAGGGGCACGCACGGCUGGCUUAGUACCACCUCGCCCGCGCAACACGGAGUAAGGCGAGGCGCGAGGAUAAAAGGAGGCGAGGGUGCCCUGCUGCAACUCAUACCUUUCUCGGCCUUUUGGCUAAGAUCAAGUGUAGUAUCUGUUCUUAUCAGUUUAAUAUCUGAUAUGUGGGCCAUGUGCCCACUUCGAUAUUAAAUUUAUUUUUUGUGGGGGAGGAUCCACCACAGUGGCUUGCCACUGGGAUCUUCGAGCGUCGCUUGGGCUUUGCACUACUGCCCUAGCCUGGCGCACCCCAACCAAAUCAAUGGUCAAAUCUUUAUGGGCCUUGCAUUUGGCCUUGGUCGGCCCAGUCCUACGGUCGGCUUUGGUUAACGAGGUCUUCUGAACUGUUUGAUUUGGCUAGCUUUUGCUAGCGUGAUGGAAGCUGCCACAGGGGGCCCUUGAAGCGGGCCAGCUGGGUUGCAUGAGGCCUUGGUCUAUUAGCUCGGCCCAGCCUUUCUGUGGCCGGCUUGGUUUGUGAUAAACGAAUUGAGAGGCUGUCUUCUGAAUUUAUUCAGUUCCUGAAUCUGAUUCGGCUUGCCUUUGACAUGCCUUACUAAACGGGAAGGUCACGAGAUAUCUAAACCGGACCGUACGGAAAUCUUUCUAACAUCUUUGUAUGCUCCCUAGCUUGGUUUGACAUGCCAUGGACUUCAAAUGCGACUUACGCUGAUCAGGCUCCUUGAUUUGGGCCUGCCAUGGUCCAUCCUCGAGAAUAUCUUGGCUCUCACACGACGACAUGCCCACGACGCACGGUCUUGCUUGUUCUCGAGCCGUCCGUCGUAACAGAAGGCCGAAAUUGAAGCCCAAAUAAAUAAACUCGCAGCCCAUUUAUACAUCCAUCAGAGAGCACGGCAGCCCGCAGAAGUAAAGCAGCCCAAGAGACGAUGUGGUGUCCAAUAUGGCAAUAUCCAAUAAUAAAAAAAGAAAAAGAAUAUUAUAAACAUGAUCCGAAACGAACAAAACCGUCGGUGCACGUAACCCCGUCUACUGGUCAACGUCACGUUUUUAUAUUUUACGUACCCCCAAAUCCCCACCGCGCGCGGCGACGACCCAGCCGCGCGGCGAGUCGCGGUCGGCUCCCCUGCACAACCGCACCAGGUCGCGCGCAGCUCCGACCAGUCAACCCCUGUCAAGGUCACGCAAAAGCAGAAGCACCCCCACGCCAGAUACGACCUGUCCAGCCGACGCUCCCCGCCUCGCGCGCACCCCGUCGGCCGUCGGCCGCCCCCACCAGUCGGCGCCUCGCCCGCGCCGCACGGCACGCGCCCUUCCGCCGCGCCAAGGGACAAACGGGCCGGCACCUCCGCGCGCCCUUGCCUUUUCGGCGGCGGUGCGCGGCUGAUGCGCCGGGCCCAGCGUGUCUGGAGGCCCGCCACGCCGGCUCGGCUCGGCAUCUCGCUCCCUUUUUCCUCGGAGAAAAGCUGCCGGAGCUUUUGCCAGCGACCUUUGGCUGCCAUGCUGCUGGUGGUGCGAGUCGGAACGCGCUGACACCGCGCCCGGACGUCGGAGUGAUCCAGCGAGGACUUUGCUUGAACCAUCGUCAGCCUACGCAGUCGUAGCCCCCCAGGCCCCAGCUGAGCGAAAAUCACCUCUGAGCUGAGGCAAUCAUCCUACCACGCCCCACGAGUGGAGAAACGGGAGUGCUCCACCUCCACUCACUGAUCGAUCGCUGGGCCAACUUUUCCUCCUAUAAACAAACGGUGAAGAAGAACAAGGCAACUUCGUGUCUUCCGCUCUUCAGCGACCCGUCGCCGUCGCCGCUACGUUCCCGUGAGCUGCCGAAACAGUCCACCGUACCCAACUUGCACAGCGCUAAAGAUCCCACCAGACCACGCGGCCGUAUCAAAGCGGCGACGAGCGCGAGCCCGCCGACGACGACUCGGCGAGCGAAGCGAACCCGCGGCGCCAUUUCCUGCUCCGCACGUGCCUGCCUCGACGGUUCCCGGGGCCGUCGCGAUCGGAGAAAAAGAAAAGAAAAGCGCAGGGCACCAGCGCCAUUUGCUCCUCCCGACCUCUUUAUAAACCCCGCCUCCCUCCACUCAUCUCCUCCCCACCCAGCUCACCACGCGCAGCAGCGAGCACCAAGCAGAGCAGGGGAGAGAGCAGAGCGCCAGCAGCCGUCCGAUCCUUCGCCGCAAAAGCAAGAGGCUGAUCCGAUGGCUCUCGCUCUCUCCGGCUCUUCCGCGCUCCGCGCCGCCCUGUCCACGCUGGCCCCGAGGGCCUCGGCCACCAGGGGCUACGCGGCGUCGGCGGCGUACGGGGCCAUGCGGCGGGCGGCGGCGGCCGCGGAGGGCGCCGCAGCGGGGGAGGCCAAGGAGGCCGGGCGCGGCGCCGCCGCCGAGAUCUCGUGGGUCCCCGACCCCGUCACGGGCCACUACCGCCCCGCCAACUGGGCCGCCGCCGCCGACCCCGCCGACCUCCGCGCCGCGCACCUCGCCCGCACCUACGCCAGGGCGUGAGGAGGGCCCCGUUUGCCGCCGUCUGAUAUAACAUACCAAAGGGGAAGGGGUGGUGGGGGUUCGUUUGGCUUGGCGUCGUCGUCGCGCGCGCUCCGGUGACGGCGGCGGGCCGGCAUGGCCGUGGAGGAAGUCCUCGGUUGGUCGCUGUGCAACUUGACGCCUCAUCAUCUCGGCUCGGCCAAAGGGAGAAUGAAGAUACAAUACAAUACAGGAAGAGCGGCCUCCGGUCGCCGUGGUGUGCGUGUGUGUGUGGGCUGGAUGCCCUGUUCUCAGCUAGCGCUCUCCUAUCCUAUCAGAUUCAGAGCAGGGUUUUGCUGAUGUUCUACGUUUUGUUACUCGCUAUCACCAGAAAUAAAAAAGUUCCUUGCAGUUUGUUCUAAUUCCUACCAUCGUUGCAACAUUGGAUAUAGUGUCUAAGAACAGGAGAACCUGUAGAAAAUAGACAAGCACAGAAACUGUACUCGAAAUCGUCUGAAAUGCGAACUAGUGCAUUUUCCUUGCGAAAAUCCCUACAAAAAAUCUUGUGGUAGGCGUGCGUGGCCGCACUAAAAGAAAAUGUGCCCCGGUCGGUGCAGAGAACCCGUCCCGUCCGCUCACUGUCUGACGUGUGGUGUGGUCCGGCCCUACGAGUAGGCCUCGUGCCUAUAGGAGCGUUCCAGCACUGCUUCCCCACUAGCACAGAGCCGUGCAAUUUUAUCACACAAGACUCGAGAAAUCCACGAGAUCGCGGAUUGGUAUUGCUUGAGCGCCCGGUGAUCCCCGUUGCACUCCAGCCGACCACCACCGACUCCUGCGGCGCCUAGAAUUUCCCGUGCUCCAGCGAUAGGGCGCGACCGGGGUGAAACUGAAACCAGUGGCAAUACCAUUGGGUCCCCACCGCGGGUGCCCGUGAACCUUAUCGUGGCGCAUGCCUCCCGCACCGACCGACGGCAUGGACGCCGUCGUCUCUGCUAGCCUUUCUUUCUUUCUUUCUUUUAUUUAACGCGGCGGUGAUCGACAGCGACCGGCGGCGCGGGAAGCUCCCGCAGGGCUUGCGGGUCUGUUCGCUUCAGCUUAUAAACCGGCUGAAAAGCUGAAAUGGCUGAUUUGUUGUGAGAAAAAAACACUGUUUGGUAGCUGAUAGGCCGGAUGAACAAGCUGAAGCGAACACGCCGUGCAUAGUUGCAUCCGGCUGGCUCCGUUCUCGGAUCAACUUGGGCUGAGGGCAAUUGACAGUGAACGGGCCUGGCCAUUGAAUAUUUGAAUUGAGCACCAGUGGUAGCUCAAAUUUACCACGCGCAGGUCGGCACACGGAAGGAUCAGGAAGGUAAGGCGACCUGGACCAGUCAUCAGUUCAUCACAUGACGCGCUGCCAAGAUACCCUCCAGGCUCCAGCAAAAGAAAAGCUGUUGGGAAUGGGCCGCCCUGCGUGGGAUCAAUCCCCGAGAAGAUCAGAUAUUAUAACGUGGCACUAAAAAAGAAUAAAGUAGCCGCCGGGAUUGUCUCACAAAAGAAUAAAGUAGCCGUCGAGAUUGGUCUCAAAAAAUAUUAAAGUUUCGGCGUGUUCAGAUCCGACAACCUAUCGAGGCUACCCGAGUUAGGGUUGAGUGCGCGAGACUUGUCAAGAUUAGGAAUUUGAAGGUAAACACAGACAUACGAUUUAGACAAGUUUGGAUCGUUAGAUUGCGUAAUACCCUACUUCUUGUGUGUCGGUUGGAUUGAAUUGCCUUGAAGAGGAUCCCUGCCUCGCCUUAUAUUAUCGGGAGCAGGGUUACAGGUUGGUUGAUUUAUAAGAAUACUAGUCGAAUUCGAUUAGAUAAGGCAUACUCUAAUUAUUACGAGUAGUUUUUCGAAUUCUCGACUAGUUCCUAUCUUACCACGUAAAUCAUACCAUCCUGCAUCAUAGUCUUCACAUCUUGUACCAGUCCUGUACCUAGAACUCUCCAAAUCUCCUGAUGAACUCGUAGAUGUAUAUACGACGGCCGCCGAGGUUCGAAUGCGAACGGUGCAGGUCAUCUGGCUAGUUGGUGUGCAAAUUUUAUUUGAAAUGCUGUAGUCCACCGACGAACAAAUACUUCAGCCCAUUUUUAAGUCAUCUCUUGCUAUUUUAUCCUUCCCGAGAUACCCAUUGCCGACAGCAUCAAUUAGUUGCUAUUUUAUCCUUCCCGAGAUACCCAAUACUGACAGCAUCAAUUAGCGUCCAUAUAGCUUUCAGUAAAAGAGAAGGCUUCUGGGCAAUAAUGAACACAGCUGAAAGGGAGUGUCAAUUUUCUUCAACACAUGCGUAGUGCGAUUUUCUUACUACGCCAUAACCUUUAGUACUGUCUUAAGCCCGCUCAAUAUGUGCAAACAGAUUAUCAUCUGGACCACAGAAAUCUGAAGGAAUGCAAACAUACACAGCCCAUACAGAUACAGAUCACCACACAUGGGCCACAAACUACCCAUUAACACCCACAGUAAGAACCACAAGCAUUGGGCGUGAGCAAGAGCUGCUUCCAAAGCAAAUCUCAAACAGAUCGGAGGGUUCGUCCAAUUUUUUGGGCAAUCAUAUUGCAAUAAGACAACGUCCUCACGACACCUAGAUAUAUCAGACGCAAAACAGAUACACAAUCUGAUCUCACACUGCUGGAACACGGAGGACAAUCCGUCGCUGAUACAUCAACAUGCAGACUCAUAAGAUUAUCGCCUUACCGGCUUCCAGCUUGGCUGCAGACGACUCAGAGAAAAGGGGGACAUACAGGAGAGUAACCGGAUGUAGGCAUGCAAGGGUGAUCGCAUUGGCUGUGCCAAUCACCCAGACUUGAAUAGCAAGACGGCUUUGGAAUCGAUGUAGAAGUAUACAAAGUAGUUUGUCUCAUGCGUUACAUACGAACCUGCAAUAGACGAAAAAUGGUUAGCAAAAGCGUGGGCGUUCAAUAUACAUAUCAUGGACUCAUAAAUGGAAGAGGUUAAUAAGUUCUCACUAUUUUCAGCUUAACUUUUCCAUUCCCAAGCUAUGCAUAUGCCACUAAAGUUCAGCGGUCAACAUAACCACAUACUCCACAACCAAAAGGAGUAACUGGAUGUUUUUAAUGUAGAUUAACAAAUCCAACCAAUUUAUAAUGGAGAAACUCUAGCAGGACUUGGCAUAUGUUCUGUCUCACUGCUAGAAUAACUAUCCCAUGUUACAGAAAUGGUAUUUAGACAUAGUAAACAAGAUGCCGGAUAAAUAUCAAACAAAGGCAGAAGAGGCUAACGCUCUUCUAACUUGCUAAUUGAUCAUUUCUCGAGCUAUGAGAAGUAAUUUAAGAUAAAAUUUCUCCCAUAAUCCUAUCAUAAUAGAGUAAAACAGAAACAUGUAGAAAUUAAGACAGCUCUUCAUUGAGUUUUAUAAUUAGUUUGUGAAGUAGAAUCAGUCAAAAAUAUCUGGAAACUACGACAGCUCAUCACUCAGUCUUAGAAUUAGAGAAACAAUUUAAGAAAAGAUUUCUCCCAUAGUCCUAUCCUAAUAGAGUCAAACAGAAACAUGUAGAAAUUAAGACAGCUCUUCACUGAGUUCCUAUCCUAAUAGAGUCAAACAGAAACAUGUAGAAAUUAAGACAGCUCUUCACUGAGUUUUAUAAUUAGUUUGUGAAGUGGAAUCAGUCAAAAUAUCUGGAAACUACAACAGCUCAUCAUUCAGUCUUAGAGUUAGGUUGAGAUACAAUCAGUGCAAUCAAAUAGAAACAUCUGGGAACUAAGACAGGUCGCCGAAGUGUCUUAGGAUUAGUUUGUGUGACAGAAUCAGUCAGUUGUGAGUGUGUCAUUCUCUCUAACGUUUGUCCUUCUCUUCUUAUUAGUAAAAAGAAAGCUGAAGUGCUGCCCAAGUUUGGAACAACAAAGGGUGACCAAAUUUAAAGGAAAAAAAUAAAAAAGGACUGGAAUUCAGAGACAGCAACAACCAGCCUCUUGUUUCUAUGCCAUCGAUAGAGAAAAACCUUUUUAAUUUUGCUAAUACUUUCAGUGCUAAAAUGUGUGCUCAAUCAAAAGGGACAUUCAGCCAUUGGUCAAAUCUUUCUAGCCUUGUCAGAGUGGCAGAAUUCGUAAGAAUUUGGUGACUUGUUGCAGUACACCAAUUAUCAGAAGCACACUCCAAAAUUUAUUAACAGAUAUUGGCCCAGAACGAAAAAACCAAUAAAAAAUGUGCAGAUUUGAGUUAUGGCUAUUUUAUGAUAAUUGACAAUGCCUGAAAGAAAACCAAAAUAGUGUAUGUCUGACUUGCUUGUAGAGAAUGCAAAGGAAGGAGAGAAAGAAAGCAAUGAUAUGCUUUAUUUGUUAUGCACGAUAUAGAAGUUGCAGUGAUAAGACCUAGCUACUAGGCAUGCUGGAAAAUUUCCAAUAACAAUAUAAUUUGGCAUCUUGAUCGAGAAGAAGCUAGAAUGGGAGAUAAAUCAGGAAAUUAUAAAUGAUCCAAUGCUACACGUAAAGCUAUAUAGCAUGUAGAAGAAUAUGAACACAGUCGAGAAAUUGCUAUAAGAAAAUAUGACCUGAAGUAUAAGAUUAAACAUUUUGUAGAGGAGAGUCGAAAAACGAACAGCUAAAACUUAUGUUUGAUAAGAACAUAGCCACAUAAUUGCAAUAAAAAAACAGAACAAAUGCAGAGUUAAACAGUUGCUGCAAAACACAAAAGCUGUUCAAUCUGGUACUGAAAAUUGUUAGCUUAGAUCCAAUAUCACAAAUUGGUUAGGCCAAUUGCAUUAGAGGUCUCUAAACUUCCUUUAUUGCACUGCUAAUUGCAGGAGUGUUUGUCAAGUGAAUAAGUAAUGUGCCAUGCCAGUUGACACGGAAUAUAAGUGACAUGACAGUAUGACAGUCAGCAUGCCCAGUCAGUUGCAAGUCUACAUAAAAUGCCAUGCCAUUUCUUUGUUACAUCUGAUUAACAGAGUACAGUGACACUAAGUUAAGGAACUGAAAAAUAAAGCAUGUGCUACUAAUUUAUUGAAACAAAAAAUUUAGUUUUAGAUAAGAAAGAGUUGAACAAAAAAUUGAAUAAGUCAAUUAAAAAUGUGUAAAAUUGAAUGAUACUCCCUCCGUUUCAAAAUGUAGGUCAUUUUUGCUUUUCUACAUAUAUAGAUUUUGCUAUGUAUCUAGACAUAACACUAUAUUUAGGUGCAUAACAAAAUCUAUGUAUCUAGAAAAGCCAAAACGACUUACAUUUUGGAACGGAGGGAGUAGCUCGCUAAGUUGGAUUUGGUUGAUAUCAGGAAUAGCCUACCCUGUUGGCUGAGCAAAGCUUAGAGAAUGCUUACAUAAAGUUUUUAGAAUUUAAGCCAAGCCAGAAGCAAGGAGGUAAACUUCAAAUUCGAGAAAUAAGACAUUGUCAUACUUGCACUAUACACACUCCCGGAAACAAUACUUCACCCACUCCAUUACAGGUGCUACAUUCAAUAAAAAAAGAUACAGGUCAUUCAACAUUCCCUUGUCAAAUUUGAAGCAUAAUUUCAGUUGACUGCAAUAACCGUUUCAGCUUCUUCAGUUUUCCUAGUUCAUUUCCUCCUGUGUACAACUUAUUUGUGGGGGUGAGGGUGGGGAAUGAGUUUCCUGUGGCUUCUAUUGACAGCAUAAGCAGUCCUACAAGGUCCAUUCAAUCAAUCACGUGCGGACCUUUAUUGGGCCAGGCACGGACGAAAUCGACCAUGGAAUAACCAACGACGCAAAGCAUACCAGACCAGAUAUCAACAACUGUCCUCAGGACAGGCGCAAUCAUCCCACAUGUUCCGCGCUAAUUAAGGAGUCCUCCCGGACAAGAGGAGAGCAUUACCGAAGUUGCGGCCGACGAUGCAGUGCCAGGUUGGGCCGUGGUUCUUGUCGAACUCCUUCUUGAUGUACUCCGCGAUGUCCUUCUCCAUGGUGUGCUUCUCGAACGCCUGACCGAAAGAGCGAGAGGUUGAAAAAAAAAUCCCCCGAACCCCAACGAACAACUAGUAAUAUGAAAACCAAAUCGAGAGCAGGAAAGAAAGCAAUAGUGAGAGCAGAGGCACGAGGUUCGUACGAUGCGGGCGAUUUCGAAGGCCUCCUGCCGCAUCUCCUCCUUCAUAUCGGCGCUCUUGAGCUGGAUCUUGUGCCCCGCCGCGGCCGGCGGCGGGGACCCCGCGCCCACCGGCUUGCGGUCCUCGGAGGAGGCCCGGAGCGCCGCCUGCGCGGCGCCCCCGGCCCCGCGCCUGGCCUCGUCGGACAUUCUCGAGGGCGGGUGGAGCAGAGCUGCCGGGCACGCUUCUCCUCCCUCUCGAGGAAUCCUCUCCUCGCUUUUUUGGCGAUGGUGGGCGUCUGGGCGAGGACGAGAAGCAGACACCGUGGGCGUGCGCGUGCGCGUUGCAGUGGAAUCUGCCUAGCAGCCGGCGGCCAGAGAGAAGAGAGAAGGUGAAAGUGUUGAAACUGGGAACUUUGGGCUGAGCCAUGGGCCUCCAUAUACAGAACCGGCCCGAAAUAAAGAGUCCAUGAGGUUGGUCCAGUUCCGUUUGCAAUGUGAGUAUUUUGCGAAACCGUUGCAGAAAUUUUAAGUGGAGCAGUUCAGCCCUCGUAGAGUCGAGAGUAAGACAAGAACAGUCAUGAGUUCCAAAUAUGCCUUCUUUAUAAAAAAAAAUUUGUCGUUAACAGUGCGCGUGUGUGUCUCCAGCAACUUCUAAUGUGACCCAAAUGGCCAAAUGUUACGGAGCCCUACGUGUUCUGGAGUUUCAAAGAGACGUAUGAAGACCACGAUGCAAAAAUGAUGUCUGCCUUUUCUCUGUCCGGUCAUCCAGGGUGUCACCUGGAGUUUUCAAGGUGUAUUUGGUUGCAUGCACCACAUGAUAUAUGCAUAGAUGAUUCUACAUGAGUGGUUCAACCAAUUUGCUUGUACCAUAUGGUUCAUUCUAAUUAGUAGAAUAAUGUAACACAGUGUUUUACCAUACAUUUGCAUAUCAACAGUCUCGCAAACCUGCAAACCUUCAAGGGUAUUAUAGUCAUUUCUUACCAAAAUUACAGUAUCACAGCUGUUUCAAUCAAACGGCUUUCAGCUUUUUCACACCUCAUAGCAUCUUUUCCAUAACCCGCAGCUCACAUCAACUUUUUCACAGCUCACAGUUCAACAAAAUAGACCAUAUAUAAGUAUGUUCGUGUGCUUUCAAAUUGCACGGGCAUCCUAAACUUACCCUCAGCUGCAAUUUAGGUCCAUGUGUUUGCAAAUGCUGAUCUAAGUAACUGAAUUUAGCUUAAUUGAUUAUUUUUUCUUAUGAUGGAACCUGCUUACCUGACUUCAAAUGCACUGAGUGCUCAUAUUUUUCUAAAUUUAUUUUAGGAAAUAAUAACUAUGUUUUUUAAUGGUUAGCGAUGUACCCGUCAAUAACGAGGUCCUUAUGUUUCGUCAAUCUCAAAAUCUGUUAGUUCAAUCUCUCUGAGAUAUGGUCAUAGGGAUAGGACGUGUGUGUUUGUAUGGAAAAGUUGACUUCACUUUUUUUUUGCUAGUUUUUUUCCAUGCAACACCUUCACAUCUAGAGACCUCCCAUAAAAGUACAUAUAUAGAAGCCUACAUACAUGCAUGCACAAUUACACAAUAUACACCUUUAGAGGAUCCGCUGAGGCUACUAGGGUCCCGUUUGGCAGAACUCUCAAAACUGAUUCUCCACUAAAUCCAGUAGGAACUCUGCCAAACAGUUUUUUAGAGAGAAGUAAUUCUCUAAUGAUUCUGUGAAGUAAUCCUCUGAAAUGAACUAAGAGGCUGGGAGCUGAAAAAAGUAGUUUCUCCUGAUUUUGUGAAGUAAUUCUCCAUUCUAAUUUUAAGAGUUUAUGCUAGAGAAUUAAAUAGAAUCGUUUUCAACACUUUUCUCAGAGAAUCAGAUGGAGUUCUAACCAAUAUUACGUGCGAAUGGUGGGGACGUUGUUUUUUAUGGAGGGGGUCAUGUUGGAGACAAACUUUGCUCAAAAAAUUGUUUUAGUUCCCAAACUAUCGAAAGGGUCAAUUUAGUCCCUGAAUUGUUGUUUGUAGUUCAAUCUAGUCGUUAGUCUUACAUGGCAUGCCAUGUGAGCUGACCGGUAUGCCCACAUGCAAAAUGUCCAUAUUACCCGUCCUCUUUUUUCUCACCCUCUCGCUUCCAUGCGGAUCCCACCUCUCAGUUAAAAAAAAAAUGGUCCGGUCCUUCGAUCCCUUGUGGUGCAUGUGGCUCCCGGUCCCAUCCCGCCGGCCGGCCAAGCAGGUGGAGCGCAUGAAUUGGCCUGUUCGCUUCAGCUUAUCAGCCGGCUUAUCAGCCACCGAACAAUGUUUUUCUCUCAUAACAAAUCAUCUGUUUCAGCUUUUCAGCCGGCUUAUAAGUCCAGCCGAACAGACCAAUACAGCUCGGCAGGGAAGACCGGCUAGACGAAGAUGCAUCGGCAAAGGAUGUCAUUGGUCUUACGUCUUGCCUUGGCCUUAUAUUUUUGCAUGUGCGAUGCGUAAUUUCUUCAAUUUCUUCAUGAGGCUCGGCGACACAUCCACAUCUCAACCAUUUAUUUGGUUUAUUUUUAUUUUUCCCUCAACCAUUUCAACCCUGACAGGUGGGACCUGCUUGGAAGCGAGAGGAUGAGGAAAAAAGAUGAAGGGUAAUUUGGACAUUUUGCAAGAGGACGUAGCAGUCAGAUGACGUGGCAUGGUAACUUGGUCCCACAUAAGACCGCAGACUAGAUUGAACUAUAAACAACAGUUCAGGGACUAAAUUGGUACUUUUGAUAGUUUGGGGACGAAACCGAUCCUUUGAGCAAAGUUGGGGAACCAAUACAGACUAUUUUUCCAAUUGCUAACGGACGAGUAAAGUGCAUGGCAGCGUUAAGUGUCCGUGUACUUUCAAAUUGCACUGUCCUCCUAAACUUACCAUGGGAUGCGAUUCAAAUCCAUGUACUCCCAAAUGCUGAUCUAGCGUACAGAAUUUAUCUCAAUUGGUUAUUUUUCUUCUGAUGGAACUUGCCUAACCUGCCUAUCCGACUUCAAGUGCUCGACUCGUCAACACAGCUACUCGUAUUUUCCAGAAUUUAUAUCAAGAAUCAAUGACUAUAUUUUUUAAUAGUUUGUGAUGUACCCGUCGAUACCGAGGUUAUUGUGGUGAUUUCGUCAAUCUCAAGAUCUGUGUCAAUCUCAAGAUCUGUUAGCCCAAUAUAUCUCAUAUGUACUCGUAGGGAAAGGAUGUGUGUGUUUGUAUGGAUAAGUUUUAAGGGUCUAUUUGGAUCCGUUAGCUAAACUUUAGCAGCUAAACUUUACUAAACUUGAGUUGCUAAACUUUAACCAUGACUGUUUGGAUCCAUGGGCUAAACAUCAUUUAAUGAGGUGUAGAAAGACCUGUCUGCCCUUAUUUAAUGCGAGGGGGGAGACAGAGAGAGGGUCCAGACAAGCAAUAAUGAGGGGCAAAAAGUGUCCAGCCCCAAGUUUAGCAAGGUUUAGCAACCAAAAAGUUGUUAAAGGACUAAAGUUUAGCAACCAUAGUUUAGCAAAAUUUAGCAAGGGUUUGUUGCUAAACUUUAGCUGCUAAAGUUUACCAAGGGGUAUCCAAACACCCCCUAAGUUGACAUCAUACUUUUGUUGCCAGAUUUUUUGAUGCAACACCUUAGAUUUCCUCCCUCAUAUAGAUGCCUAGAUACAUGCACGAAAUGCUUACCCAUAUAAAAAGGCACACUUAAAUACUAUGCACCUAGAGUACCAUAAAAAAAUACUGGACCCGCAGAUCAUGAGAAUGACGAAAUUACCACAGCCACCUCACUAUGAACGGGUACGCCGCUUACUACUAAAAGAAUAAUUAGCCAUAAAUGCAAGCAAUUGUCUUGAAGUUGGAGACUUGGAACUUGGAUGAGCAAGUUCAACCAAAAAAUCUAAUCAACCUAGAAUGUCGCUAUGGCAGAGAGUUUGCAGCAGCUUUUGAAAACUAUGGCUAAACAUGUUGAAAGAACACAACUCUAAUUAAUUCUAACUAGAAUGGGUCCUACUACCAAAGUAGUAUUUCUUGGAAAGAAUGGAAUUUUUCUACAUUCCCAACAUGAUUUUUUUCUCUCUCAAAAACACAGUUCCCAACAUGACCUACAAAGAACCUUUGAUCGAUUAGCACAUAAUAUUUCCUCGGCAGUUAUUCUAGGGAUCUAGCCAGAUUGCAUCUCUAUUCUCUAGUGGCCUAGAGGGCUUCUGAGCAUUUUGGUUGUGUAUUGGCAGCAGAUGGACAACACAUGAUGGAUGCACUCAUCGAAUUUUGGAUUAGUGAUCAAUCGGGCCAUCGGCUAAGUGCAUAUGCAGGCGAGGCCCCUUUGCAUAUGCAGGCCGGAGCUGUAUGCGCAAAAAAAAAAUUCAAUUGCAAAAACAAAAAAGGAAUAAAAGAGAUGAUGGCGGAUUUGCUGCCGUCGAUCUACUAGGUUUGCACACGAUCCAUGCUAUUGCUCUACCAUUGCCACCAUGCUGCGUUACUCGCUCUCCGGAUCAACCAGAGAAGGGAAAAAUUGAAGGGGGAAAGGUAGCAAUAGAAACACAUAAAAGAUUUGGAAAAAAAAAUCUUGCGACGAGGUUCCUGUUGUGCCACUCGUUGAGUGGAACCUGAAUCACCUCAUGACGGCGUGCUUCCAAGAGCCGCACUAUACACAGUCCGCCGAGAUCAGCACUAUACGCGGCCUGCUAGGAUCUGCACUAUAUGCAGUCCGCUAGGAUCCGUUAGCCUUGAUGAAAAACCGUGGAAGGGACUACCUCUUCCAUCGAGAAUCCACAUAAUCUGGGGCAGAGAGAGAGAGAGAGGGAGGGGGAGAGGGAUAGAAUUUGAGGGAGGAGGGAGAGAGAGAGUUUGCUCACCCUCCCCUUCAUGGUACCAGUUAAAGCAUAGUCUUAGCCACAUCGCAGCUCCCAAUCAGCAGCCCUCGAGCCGCACCAGAUCCCGCUAUGCCAGCAUAUGUGGAUCUCGCGGGUUCUGAGUUCCUAUCCCCCAUGGCGGCAUGCAUCUGCCUCACCUGUUGAUGGCGAGUCGGAGGUGGCCGCGGAGCAGGGGAGGUGUACUGAGAUCCGUUCGAGCCACCUCUGCGGUGUGUUGUGGAAGCCAACAGGGUAGAAAAGAGGGAGGAGGAAAAGGUAAAGGGAAUGAGAGGGAGCUCUUGUCGAUAGAAGAUAUAGGGGAAAAGGUUCUCUGAGUCAGGCACACUCACGUGAAAAAAGGGAAGAGGGGCAGCGGUGCAUGUCAACAACGUGUUGAUGACCUGUAGGGACUCCACAUACAGCGAAAUUAGAUCACCUAACCAGGGGCAAACAAGUUCAACUAUAUACCAUGGGAAGAAUGUAUGAUCCAUACAUAACUCCUAAGUCUCCAACUAGCAACUUAGUGGGAUGGUCAUUGAAGGCAACAAUCGCUCCAAAGUCUUUGAGAUUUCAUUCUAGCGGCCCCUGUCCCAUCCCUCUUUUUUCUGGUAAUUGAAAUAGUUAGGUAGUUUUUGGUUGUCAACUUUAAACCUUAGCAUAUAAGGAAAAUGGAAGAGUUGUAUAAUCGUAAACGAUUUAAGCAAUUACUUAUUUUGUUUGGUUUUGCCCAAUAAUGAAGUAUGGUGUUAAAAACAAAAAUUAAAGAAGAAGUAUAUAUGAUCAACGAGACGGUGACAAUGAUAAAGAUCUUUUGCCUGGCAUUUUGCCCUGGCAACAGCACCAUAAUGUUCCUGACAACCUGCAGGCUGUGGCGGUAAUGGGCGUUCAUUUGCAAGGUGUACACGAUCGUUGUGGAGACGAGGUCAGGGUGCAUCUAAUUUCAAGGACUUGUUCGACGUUGUUCUUCUGGAGUACUCUCUGUCACUAUUUGUUUUGACUUUUCUAAAUACAUAUUUAAAAAGAUCAAAACGAAUAGUAAUUCCAGGAAGUACGUAGGAAGCAAGCGGACACGAGGAUUAGAAUGGGCAGUGAGCCUCAUUACACUAGGUAGGCAGCAGUAUCUGUUUACCUAGUUUUUCCUUAUCUCCGUGGGAUUUGAUUGUGCCAGCGUCUAAACAAACACAGGUUGCCUCCAGAAAGGAAUUAUAUUAAAAAACAUGAACCAAAGAGAAUCUAAUAAGUUACACGCUCGUGAGACUUUGAUGCGAAUUUAUGCCAGUUAUAGGUCAUCUGUAAAGUUCCACUUAAAAAUCUUUUCCAUUGAUUUCUAAUUCUCUUUUUGUCAGGUGAAUUUGUUUUCAAUUUCAUGCUUAUUUUUUCAGUUACAUUCUAGAUUCUUGUGUUCAAGGUGGUCUGGUUCUGGUAACUCGCGGCCAGGAAGAAGAUGAGGUCCCUGGCCUCGACAAAUUGCAGAAUCAUGUCAUGGCGCUUACGAAUGACUAGUUACAAAUCUUAUUAUUAGUAAAAAAACAGAGUAUGUAUAAGAACCUGGUACACUAGUCUUGCAGCAUCACUUUGUGUUUGGAUUGAGGAUCGAAGUGGGUUGAGAUGGGUUUUACAAAACAGAGUAUGUACAAGAACCUGGUACACUAGUCUUGCAGCAUCACUCUGUGUUUGGAUUGAGGGUUGAAGUGGGUUGCCAACCCACUUUGCCCCAUGUUUGAUUGAAUUCCCAACCCAGAUGGGAAUAUUCCUACGAGAUCCGGGUCGAGCGCAUCCCAUUAAAUCGGAGGGACUGCAUGAACCCAGUCCGACGCCAUCUCCGUGCUUGCCUGCGCGCUGGGGAGGAGCUGGGAUGCCGGGUGGUGGCGGGCGCGGGGAGGUGGCGGGGGAGGUCGCCACCGUGGGGAGGCCGCCACCGCGGCGGAUGCAGGGGCCGGCGGCGGCAAGGGAGAGCAGGGGGUGCGUGGGAGGAGCCAGUAGAGGAGCCGUGCGGGGAGGAGGAAGAAGGUAGAAGAGGAAGGGAGGAAAAAAAGAGAGGCUGACUGGUGAGCCCCGCAACUGAUAGGUGGGGCCCACAACUAACGGUGUUAAAAGGACAUCCAUCCUAACCUUCUCAACCUCAUCAAGCAAACAAAAAAAUGGAUCAGCUCCAACCUACUCAUCCAAACAUGAGAUGAGAUGGCUCCAACUCAACUCACAUCGUCCCAAAAUCAAAAGCUACCUUAGUCUCUUCCUCUUCAAAUAACUGCUUCUCGUCACGGCCAGGCUCUCCGCCGCCGCUUCCACGGCGCAAUUCGUGACGUAGUUGUAGUAGGGCGGUAUAGGGGACCGCCAUGCUAGCACGCCCAUCUUGUCCUCGCCACGGGGCACGGCGCGGCCGUCGAGCACGUCCUGCAGCGUCACCUUGGGAAGCUCGGCGCUCUGCGCCGGACCGGGUCGCCACGUCCCCGUCUGCUUGCGCCAGUCGUAGUAGAAGCAGAGCGGCGCGUCCUCGGCGGCGCCGCAGAGGUAGGCGAGCCUGCUGCGGCCCGGCAGCCGGCUCGGGUGCUCGCCGAAGGCGGUGUAGUUGGCGCGCACGCCGCGCCUGACCACCUCCAGCACGCGGCGCCAGAACCGCGCGUCCAUGCUCGAGUGCAUCAGCCGGGAGAGGAUGUUGGCGGCCAUGAACGACCCCUUGAGCUCGUCCACGAGGUCCAUGGCGAUGGAAGCGAGCUCCGGGUGGUCGCCCGGGUCGGCGCUGCCGAAGGCGAGGACCUUGAAGAAGUGCCAGUAUUCUUCUUUGUGCAGGGUUGCCAGCCUCAGUGCCUGUCCCGUUCCUAGAGUUGAGACCUGCUCUGUUUGGCUGAUGACGAUGAUCUUGCUUGAUUUGUCGCUGUUGCUAACAGAGGAGUAGAACCUUCUCCAAGCUGAGGCAUCCGGCGCACCGGCAAACUCGACGAUGAUCAGUGAUCCCCCGCCGCUCGGGACGUGUUCCUGGUGCUCAGGAAUCAGAUCAUAUUCGCCGUCUCCAAGUUCGUCGCCGCAGAGAUGGGUGAUCAGAGGGAAUUGCUUCCGCACCCUGUCGUCGGCGCAGACGUGCUCCACGAGAGUCUUCUUCCCAACCUCCGGUGGGCCGGUGAUGGGGAGGACUCCGGGAAGCGAGCAAGGCCGCAGCAGGAACUCGAUAACCCUCUCCAUCUCGCCGUGCCGGCCAAACAUGCACCGGCCCAUGUGCAGAUACGUGCUGUACGGCUGGCGACCGACGCGCGGGUAGCCGCCGAGGAACACGACGAACUCCUUCAUGUCGCCGAGCACGGCCUCGAGGCUGUCAACGACGGCCUGGAGCUCGUUCAUGCUGUCUCCGCUUACCUCCACUGCUCCUUCACCGUUGUUGCCGUCGACGACCGCCGCCGCGUCGAAGUACGGCGAGGAGGAGGAGGAUCUGCGGCGCGCCGCGAGGACGCGCCUUCUUGUGCUGACGGCGGCGAGCCUCCGGGAGGCGUCGAGGACGUAGUGGCCCCGGUACAUGCCCUCCCUGAGACGGCCGAGCUGCAGGAGCAUACCGCGGUUGGUGAUGUGCCGCGUCUCGGCCUCCUCGACGACGGCGCGGGCACGCAGGAGGAGACGGUGCAGCCUCCCAAGUUUGCUGGCGGCGGCAUGCUUCUGGUACCUGGCGAUGAGGAAGGAGAGGCACCGGCCGAUGAGGUCGCUGACCACCGCAGAGGCCAAGGCGUCCAUUGCUGAAACUGAUCGAGGAGUUUCUUGCAGGCUGCUGGUUAGUGAUUACUGAACCGACGAGUGGAUUCCCGCCGGUUCGCGAGAAAAAGUUUGAUGCCAUGGAUGGAAUGUGGAGGUCCAAGUCAAGGGUCAACCCCUGAGACAGCACGGCGGUGACUGUCCCGGUUUGUGGUUCCCCUUCCAAGCAGGCGGCUGGUCGUCACUCGUCAAAGUUGCAUACAGCUGAUAAGCCGGUGAAGCAAUCAAUUUAUUGUGAAAUGUUAACAUAAAAAGGACCAGCCCAGAAUCUGUUUACUGUUCUUUUUUUAAAAAAAAGACAUCCUAAACAUCGAACUCGAAGUCUUUUUUUUUGUUUCAUCAAUGGUGUUUCCGAAGAAAUGGUUGAAUAAGAUUUAGUGAACUUUCAAACGUACGACGUCUAACAACCCCAUUUAAAAAAUCCGAUUCAGAGAACAAUGAACCCUAAAAACAAGAAUGGGGAUUGGGGUGUGCAUUUUUUUUUUUCAAGAUGAUUUGUUGUUGCAAAAGAUUUUGGGCUCAGAAUUGAAGAAGGCUGACAAUGUUCACCGGAAUGUAUGAUGUUGAGUAACACAACAAGGAUAUGCUGACCACAGGUAACAAAUAAGUGCCCAGGGUAGUUUAAAGAACCUUUUUACAAUCCUUGACUAGGAUCCCGAUCAACUAGAGAUUGUGAAAAAACGUCUUUAGCUUGUGAAUUGUUAAGAGUAAAUUUCUUUUAUGCCAUUAAGAAAAUUCCAAUCUCUUUGGUGCCAUCAGAAAUUUUGGAGAAGACACGGCAGUUUAGUCCUUAACAGAGCUCAGAGGUAUGGAACGUGACGUUCAUGGAAGGGAACAGAAAAUUUUUAACUGGUGGCAUAGAAGGAAACUCAAAAUUUGAUGGUACCAAAGGGAUUUGAAAUACUACUUCUAGAUUUCAACAGCCUAUAAUACCGUUAGUGGAGACGUGGGUAUGUGAAUGACAAAGGUGGCCAUUUCCAGUAAAAUCCAAUUGCCAAUUUGGUCUUUUUUUUCAAUGCACAAGAUGGCAAAAGCUAAUGAGAGGCAACUUAUGGGAUUGUUAAAAGAUGGUAAAAGUUGGCAUGCUUAGAUCAACCAGACCUUUUAAAACCAACAAUCCGCACUUUAGCCGAUCCAGACAGGGCCUAGAAGUGUAGCAUGAUUUUGGUAGAAGAGGUGCGUGAUGCUAGUUUCUCUCAAGUUAAAAUUAGUAGCUCUUUGCGAACUGAGUUAGUGAACUGCCCAUCCAAGUCUUCAACUCAACGUAGGUGCUUGUAUUUUUUUAUAUUUAUUUCAAGAAUUAACCAUGCUAUUCUUAAUUUUAGUGGUAAGUGGUAUGCCCGUUGACAACGAAAUGCUUAUGGUGACUUUGUUAAUCUCAAGAUUUGUUGCUCAGUUUCUCAACAAUGCUCGUCUAAGAGUAGGAUGUGUGUUUGUAUCGAUAUGGGUAAUUGUCGUAAACAUCUGCAUGGGUAUCGCUGUUUUGAAAAAAUGGGCUUGUUUUACCUUUCCAAGAAAGAAAAUAAAGCUCCUGCGUGCCAUUUUUGUUAGGAGACAUGAAGGCGAUAGACACCCUACUACUAUUAUUAUAUGUGUUAUUCAUGCGACUCUAACAUGAACUCACUACUCACACUUAUGAAAAUUAUCAAGAGACUGCUUGAACAGAUCAUGAGAAUAUCAAAGUUACCACAUCCACCUCAUUGUGAACGGUACACCACUUACUAUUACAAAAAUUAGCCAUAAAUGCAAGUACUCGCAUCGAGUCAAAGACUCGAACUUGGAUGAUCAUAUUCCACCAUUACAAAUCUCACCAACCAAGUGAUGACUAGAGAUUUUGCAACAGUUUUAUAAACUAUGACUAAACACAUAGAGAGAAACAACUCCAAUUAAUUCUAACUAGAAUGGACCCAUUACCAAAGUACUCCAACUAUUAAUGACAUUUGCACACAUUUCUAAGAGUAAUAAUAUUUUUCUCGGUGGCUAAUGUUAAUAAUAUUUUCCACUUGUUAAGAGUGCGGAAAUUGAUUGGGGGGUGGGUUGGGGGGGGGGGGGAGCACAACAUAUAGGUGGGGUAGCCCUCACCCAUCGGGCUAGUCUUUUGGGUUGAGUUAGGCCCAAGUCCUUGUUGUGGGCUCUGGUGGGGCGCCGUCUCGUGGGUAUAACAGGUCGGGUGGAUUCUGCUACGCACUCUAACAGUUAAUCUAGGGAUCUAGCCAUUUCUCAUCAUUAGUGGCCUUGAUGACUCCUGAUCAUAUGGUUGCGUGGCAAUUUGUAAGAGAUGGGACUAAAGGUUGCAAAUGAUGGAUGUAGUAGAGUUUUGGACUAAGAACCAAUGUUGGCUAAGUGCGUAUGUAGGCGGGGCCGCUUCAAAACCUGGAGCCUGGGGUGGUCGCCACAUUCACCAUCCCUAGGUCAAGGAGAUGGGCACACCAAAAUUUCAAUUGAAGAAAACAGAGGAUGGAGGGGGAGGAUGGGGCAGUGGGUAGAUCCGCCGGUGGUAAUGACCCACUGGACUCACACAUGCCCUAUGCCACUACUCUACCUUGGACACCACACCACAUCACUCACUUGUCAGGGCAACCGGAGGGGUAGGGGGGAAAGGAUGAAGACGAAAAAUAAUUGUAGAAACACACAAUAAAAUUUGGAAAAUAAUUAAAAGGAAAGAAAAAACUGGUGAUGAGCUUCAAUCCCUUGGUGCCACUCGUUGGGUGGAAACCAAGUCGCCUCACAGCGGUGAGAUCCCGAGAGCCACACUAUGUGCUCUCCAACCGGAUCUGUCCCCUUCACUAGGAAUCCACCGAGAGAUUGCACCCACCAGUUGAAGUGCCACCGCAUGCUUCACAUAUGCUCCAUCACACCACCUCUUGUUACUCAACUCCCAGCUAGCGAUGCACGGGGGGAGUUUCCUUGAGCCGCACCAGAUCCUGCUACGUCGGCAUGUGCAGAUCCCGCGAGCUUUGGGUUCUGGUCCCUCUCCAUGGUGACAUGUGCGUUCCAUGCCUAACGCAAACAAACAACACAGUGGAAAGACCAUUGGAGUGGAGGUAACAAUCACACUUUUAUUGAGACUAAACUUUGGUUCCAGUUGUCAUCCCACCCUUGUUUCCACUAUAUUUGAAAUUUUUUCUAUGCUUGUUAGUUUUUGAGGAGAAUUUAGACCAACAUUAAUUGUGUAUAUCUACGUUUGGAAUGUUGCUUAUGUUCCAUUUUUGGUCCCACAUACAAAUAAACUUUGGUUCCGGUUGUCAUCCCACCCUUAUUUCUGCUCUAUUUGAAAUUAGUUGUAUGCUUGUGAGUCUUUGAGGAUAAUUUUUUUUAUGUAACAGGAGGGGUGUGACCUCCAGAAAAAUAUUCGGUGCAAACGACCUUCUCGCGGUGGAAAUGUGAAAAUCCCUUAAAAAUCAUACUUUCAAGUAUUAAUUUUUUUUUGAAAUGAUGCACAUUCAUAGUGCAUCCAUAGACACACUUUGUGGCAAAAGAUGGGAUGCAAAACCAUUUUUGCAAAAAUUCAUACAAAAAUGACAAAUUUCAAGUGCAUAUGCACUAGAAGACCAAUUUCCAGGAAUUUCAUCUUUUAGUGUUUAUGCACAUGAAAUUUAUCAUUUUCAUUUGAAUUUUCCUAUUUUGAGUUUGCAUCGCAACUUUUGCCACAAAGUACAUCUAUGGAUUUUUUGAACACUUACAAAUAUGAUUUUUGAAGGGGUUUUCACGUUUCCACCGAGAUGGUGGUUUGCACCGAAUAUUUUUGUGUGACCCCCUAUUAGUUAUAUAUUAAAACAAUAAAUAAAGUAUUUUACAGGGAACAAAAAGAUCAAAGAAAGAGAAAGAGAAAAGAGAAAAUUACAGCAGAUUUUGUAUCCAUUCCUUGUGUGCAUAUAUCCACGGCUGGAAUGUUGCUUAUGUCCCAUUUUUUUCUCCUUCGAGAUCAUUUUCAAUUCAAAGAUUGAAGCCGAUGAUUUUAGUUUUUUCAGUUUACCUAGCAUCCCAGUUUCUUUUCAUGGGCUAGUCAGCAUCCUCAUGAUCUUUAGUUUUUUCAGUUUACCUACCAUCCUGAAGAUCUAGCUGCCAGGUAUUCAGAAACCUGACAGCCUCCGCACAAUUGCAAGUAACCCGAUCCUUUGUACCAGGUGCAACCACUAACCACGCACUAGCAGUCAACGUGAUACAGAUCCAAUCUUGGGUUAAGCCAUUAAGAUCAAAUCAGUGAAGGAUGGUCUGACCUUCCCCCCUGGUCAAUCGAAUGGGAUAACUUUUUUCGACUUACGAGAUGCAAAUCAAACAUAAAAAUGAGCACAAAGUUUACCAAUCAAUUCAGAAAACGACCUGCUGUGAACUAUCCAAUAACUCAAAGUCUUGCUUAAAAUCAAGUCCGUGACAAAUGCUCGAAGGUAAUAUGGUACAAACACGGGCAAUUGAGAGCUUGCAAAGUUCCAACCAUUUAAUAAAAAUGAAGACUAAAAUGAGUUCCUUCUCCAGGUAUAAUAUUAGCUGCAACAGAAGCUUAUAUGCGGUAAUUGUGCUGCAUGUUUUUGGUAACAAACGUCUAUUUUGUAAAUGGGAUAGUUGUGUGUCCACAGAUAGAUGUGCUACAUGUUUUUGGUAACAAACGUCUAUUUCGUAAAUGGGAUAGUUGUGUGUCCACAAAUAGAAGGAAUAGUACACUUUUGGGGAAUGCGCCUUUAGUACCUGGUCAAAAUCCAUCUUUAGUACCGGUUGUGCAACCGGUAUUGUUAUUUCGCCCUUUAGUACCGGAUCAAAUAAUCGGUACUAAAGGGGUAUUAAAAAAUAAAAAAAAAAGAAAUCCGCCAACCGGAGACCUGACCGUACCCUGCAGCCAUCCGCUAGAGCCCUAGAGCCCCGGCCGCACACCUGAGCCCCGCACCAGAGAGAGAGAGGGAGGGAGGGAGGGAGGGAGGCGGUGUACUUACGCUGCUCAGCCACCGCCGCUGAUUGCUGCCACCGCCGGAUCUGAGGGAGAGGUGGCCGCUACUCCAAGAUCCACACGCUCCUUGCUCCACCAUGCCUGCCGACGCUCCACCACCGCGCCCUCCCGCCGGAGCUCCGCUGCUCCUUGCCCCGCCGCCGCUCCUUGCUCCGCCACGCCCUGCCAACGCUCCACCGCCUUGCCGCACCCUCCCUUCCUGCCUCCGCUGCUCCUUGCCCCGCCGCCGCUCCUUACCACAUGUAAGAGGUGAGGGGCGAGUGGAGGGGGGAGGAGAGGGGCGGCGACGGGGGCGGGGGGAGGGGGGGAGGCGGCAAUGGGAUCUGUGGGAGGGACAAAGGGAGGGGAUUCAGCUGCGGAGAGAGAGGGGAUUCGGCGGGGAGAAGAAGAGAGAGAGGCGCAGGUGAGAGGAUGAGGGGGACGAGCAGAUAAGUGUGGGGAGGGGGUGAGAGAGAGAAGGGAGGACUGAUGCGUGAAGAGAGGUUGCGAUUUAGUACCCGGUGAAGCGUCCACCCGGUACUAAAGGCCUUCAGGCACAUUAGUACCGGUUGGAGGCUUCAACCGAUACUAAUGGGUGACUUUAGUACCAGGUGAAGUCUCCACCCAGUACUAAAGGGGGUCAUAGGGGUUCCUCGGGGACUAGCUGUUAGGUCCGGUACUGAGCCUCAGGAUGAAUGCUGAGUUUUCCAGUAGUGAUAACUAUUAUCACAUAAUAUCUUGUGGACUAAGGGACUGAUUGGUGGGGCACCAAAAUGUGCCAAACCAAAAUCAGGGCAAGCCCAAUGAUUCUAGUGCUCGCUUGGUUCAAAUCCAAAAAACUGGCGUGCCAAAGUUUCUGGCACAUCGGCAAGGUUCAGCUUGCCCACGUUUUGGCUGUCCCUGCCAUGCUCCCGUAUUCCCAUCCCUUACUAGUUUGCGCUAUUGUCCUCUACCUGUCAUCUCACUUCUUGCAGCCUCCAGCCAACCCGUCAUCGUCUCCUCUCCUCAAGUACCCAGGUUCUCACCCAUCAACAACAAAGCACUGGAGCUGGAGUUCCACCACCACCCUUUCCCGUUGAAGAUUAAAGGGAACUACCUUGAGUAUAGAUGGGGUAGCAAAAUCUUUCCAUCCGUUGUUAUGCAAGCUGCAUAUUCUAAAAGUGUGUGCUAGUAUGAAUCAUGAACAUUGGCAGUUGUGUUUUGGCAUCAAACCAAUUGGGGGCCAAAAUUUUGGCUGCCACAUUUUGGCACCCAACCAAGUGCCAUCCUAAAACUUUUGCUCAGAUUUUGGCAUGCAAAUUUUGGUAGGGCACAUUUUGGUGCCCAACUAAUCAGACCCUAAAAUUAAAAGUCUGUGGUUAGAAACUUAUUAUGUUCAAUUUGAACCUCUAAUUUAUUAGUUCCAUUUUGGGUUUUGCUACAGUGCGCCGGAUACUUCCCAGGAGGUACAGGAGUUCACAUAAAUCAUAGCCGUUGAUUUGUAGAAUAACUUAUUCAAGAAAUUAAAAAAAUCAAGGAAAAGAAGAAAAAAAUCCAUCCCAGGAAUCACGUUAUUUCUUCUUCAUCCGGCUCUUUCCUUGUCACCCACGGAGAGAAAGAAAGAAAAAGCUACACCGACAUGGAAGUCGGAACGCAGGUCCUCGGCGACACCUCUCGUGAAUCCUCCCCAUUCUGCAGCAUCCCUUAAAUUGUGGAAGCAAAUCAAAUCCAGGUUCAAGAUUUUCGAUCUAAUCGCAAUCGACUUUACCUGCUAGAUCUAAUUGCCACGUUAAAAGAAAAGACGUGAUACAUGCCAUCACGUGAAAAGUCAUCCAGAUCGAUGACAUCAUUUAUUUCGGUCGUCGCAACGUCCACUUUGAUAACGUUCGAUACCGCGGAUGAUCCAAGAUUCAUAAACGAUGUUUUCAAAUUUGGUUACGCAUGCGACGUGCUUCCUUGGUGGGCUAUAAAGGUAACUUGUGUGACGUACUUCCUUGGUGGGCUAUAAUAAUCUUCUAUCAAGAGUAAUGGAGCGAUAGCAAGAACUAGAUCUCUUUCAAGCCUUGUGGUCCUAUUAUCUUCCAGAGUCAUUAUCAUCGUGAAUUUAAUUCUAACUUUCCAACAAGGCAGCUAUUCGAGUAGCUACAAUAUGUCUAUUUCUCUAAACCAGCUGUGCCUUUCAAUCUCUUUUGUCCUUCCGUUCGUUCACUUAAUUUCAUCGAGGAAUUGACAAGAUCAAACGUGCUUUACCGUAGGAGUUACCACGCGCACUCACCCAUAUGAAUACACAUAUGCAACCCUAUCCAUAUGAGCAUAUUUGAGAGACACCAAUAUUAUUUUUCUUUCGCAAAACACAGUAAGUUCAUGUAUACACACGCAUACUCACCCUUAUGAAUACACACAUGCAACCCUAUCCAUAUGAGCAUAUUCGAGAGACACCAAUAUUAUUUUUCUUUUGCAAAACACAUAUAGAUGCAUAAGUUCAUGUAUACACAUGCACACUCAUCCCUAUGAAUACACAUGCAACCCAAUCCCUAUGAGCAUAUUCGAGAGACUGGGCUGACAGAUCUCGAGAUUGCGUGUACCUCACUAUAGACGGACAUGUCGUCUAGGUACCACUGAAAGAAUAGUAUUUAGCAUCUGUUAAUUCCUAGAAUAAAUCUAGGAAAUAUUCCAAGUCGAGGACUCGAACCGAGUGGGUAGGUUCUACCACAAGAAAUCAUAGUAACUACGCUUAGUUCACCACCUAUAGAUAUUUAGCAUGAUCUGUGCACAGCUUUUCUUAGUAUCCAACCAAACUUGGUGAUUCGUGGUUUUGAAAAGGUUUUUUAAAGCUCAGCUAGGAUUUUCUGGGUGGGACCUUCAAAAUAAAAAAUGGUUCACAAACCAGAUUCUAGUAGGAGAUCUGGAUAGGACUUAAACCACUUAAGGAAAAAUUUUCUAGCCUGUAUAAGAUAGUCAAUUAUUACCCUCAUGUUACAAUGACAAAUGUGAUACAUCAAAUGCCACUCAAUAUCUAUUUUCAAAGAGCUCUAGUAGGGGGAUAAGUUGACAGUGUGGCAUAAUACGGUAGCUCAAAUAACUUUCAGAUUUCUAACGAGUGGGAUAUUUUUACCUUCAACCUACAUAAACAUGGGACUGUAGAGCAGAGACAUCACACAAAUAUUCUAUGCAAUUAUGGCUAGACUCUCAAUUGUAAUUUUGCUUAUCUUUUUUGUUUCCUUUUAUGUUUCUUGAGGUUUUAUUUGUAAGCUAAACUCUUGUUUCCUUUAAUAUAUAUAAUCAGUAGGGGCUCUCCUCUCCUGUUACCAUCAAAAAAAACAUGGGACCGUACGAUCAAUGUAUCAAUACCUAAUUAACCAAUUUCCAACCGUAAGAAAUUCAUAUGGAAGUUAAAAAAUCCUCUAAAAAUUGGUACCUCCAACAAGAAAUAAUUUUAAUAAAGGAUAAUUUGGCCAAAAGGAAUUGAUUUGGGAGGCAAAAGUGUUGUUUCUUUUAUUGCAAGGAAACAACUAAACACAUCUUAUUUGACUACCAUGCCAAAGCAAUUUUGAGGAUUGUUCAUAUUGUUACCGAGUUAACUUCACCUAGAUCUAUAGUUCAUAUGUUUGGGGAAUUGGUUAACAGGCAUAGAAAAGAAGAAGAAAAAUGAUCUUUGUGGGGUUGUAGAACUUCUGUGGGGUAUUUGAUGUACACAAUGAUUUAUUUUUUAAUAUGAAAACAAUUUUUCUUUUAUGCAGGCUACUUUUAGAGAGAACAUAUUAGCUAUGAUUUUGGACACUAUUGCAGCGUGCAGAUAGGGAGACAGUCCACCUAGCAAGAAGUCAUUGCUUUGAAUAUUUUCACAAAAAUAGUGGAGAACCAGUAAUAGACUUUGCAAAUUGGUUGUAAUUGUUUCCUUUCAUUUGUGUGCCCCCCCCCCUCUUGCGCCCUCGUGAACAAUGCUUGAGAAUAUUGUGAGAAUUUGACUGUGUGCGUCCGGCAGAGGUCUAAAACAUUUCCUUUUCCUAAAAUAUAAAAGUGUGUAGGGUGGUUUAUCAAUUUGCGUAGAGGACUCCUUGUUGGUCAUAUACAGGAACAGAAUAUAAAUAAAAGAACUCUGAUGUUUAGGUGGGUGAAAUGAUUAUGAGAAAUUUACUUCAUGUGUCCACCUCUUGCAGUACCAUCUUAAUUUCAAAGCUGUAAGCAUCAUGCUUUUAAUUUGCAUCAUUUUCAGUUAGCUUUCCUAUAGCCAAUGCAUUUGUACGACAAAAAUGACAACCUAUUAUGGUCGUGCAAUAUGUUUAUUGCCCUAAGCCACAUGUGUUUUUCAUUUCAUUCUUGUUGUUUUGCGUGGGCUCUAUACUUUCCCCUAGAGAAUACGAUGACAACUUGCCUCAAGCCCUCGACUAGUCCUAACAUAGAGGCCAAUAAAGACAAUUAGAAAGAAGACUACAGCGUAACUGAUGUUUUUCAUAUUAGUAUAGAUAAGUCUGUUUUAGCUCACCCACACAUUUUACCAUAGAGGCCGACUGUAGACAAUAAACAUGCUCAAACAUGAUCUAUGCAAUGUGGCCGUGCAUUUUAGGAAAAAAUGGAACUGUUUUUUUUACUGGACGAAUUUUUUUUAGCUCAUCAACCCAUGCCAUUUCUUCUUUAUCUAAUAAUACAUCAGCGGCUAAAGAGGCAUGCUCGUGGGCCAUGGAGAUGGGUGAAAGAACAUGUUUUUUUUUGGCACCUCUUAUAUUUCAAGUGCUUGAAAAUUUUUAUUGUUUCAUGCAAUGUAUUUCAAUAUUAUAAAUGCUGCUACGUGAUGUUGCAUAUGUUGGUAUCUGAUAUUGCGUACAUCGCUAUUCAAGUGUUAUAAGUGAAUUGAAUAUGAAACAUAAUUUAUUUUUUAUGUUUUGGACGUUGAUUUUCAAUGUUGCAACCCAUUGCCUAAAAAUUGUUAAGCUAAGGAACCUGUUAGUUAUUUGGUCUAUUGCGCCUAUACACAUGGACAACAUUUUUUAGGUUUUCGAAAUUUACGCCACCUCACUAAAAAUAGAUGUGCUUUAGUGAUCAAAGCAAUAGUUGCCAACCAAGAUAGCCUAUAUAAGAGCUCAAGGCAAUGCUAGCAUCUCCCAAGACGGAUUAACGACAAUGCUCGGUGCAGCAACUGAGCAGCUGGUCUGUGUGACCGGAGCUGGAGCCUUCAUCGGGUCAUGGCUAGUCAAGGAGCUUCUCCACCGUGGCUAUGCUGUAAGAGGCACCGCAAGAGACCCUGGUGAGUCAGCGACUCGGUGUAAUGCGUCCAUCAAGGGUGAUUGGUCUCUAAAUUUGCAUGGAUUUUUCAAAGGACUCACCAACUAGUGUCGGAGCACCCAUUGUCCUAGCUUUCCCACUCACUAUGCCACACCAACGUAUCUCCUUCCUCCACCCUCACCAGCCAUGUAUGAUAUAUAGCAUGCCACACGCCCUUUAAUGCCUUCUUACCUCUCAAUCUCUUAUUACUAGGUGCCAACUGUGUAAACUUCAAACAAAAUGUUGCUAGCUAGUUGCUGAUUUUUGUGCAUCUGCUAACAUGAUUCCAGUGGACCGCAAGAAGUGUGUAUAUUUAUCUCACUAGUUGUUUUUAGUUCUGUAAUUUAUAGAUUAAUGAUUAAUUUUUUGUUACGGUGCUAGAGGACUGCAAGAACGCCCAUCUGCAUGCACUCGAUGGAGCUGAAGAACGGUUAUCUCUGUACCGUGCUGAUGUGUUGGACUACAAGUCACUUCGUCCUGCAUUCAGCUUAUGUGAUGGUGUUUUCCAUGUUGCCUCCCCAGUAUCGAAUGAUCCUGUCAGAAUACUUCCUAUAAUAAGUACCAUCUAUCUAAGUCUCCUACAUGCUCAGAAAGAUUAUUGAAUCCAUGUCUAACAUGAACCUAUUUAAUUUAUUCCAAUUGAAGCGACAGACAAAUGUUAAACGUGUCAUGAAAAUAUGCAGGAACUUGUGCAGGUCGCUAUUGAGGGAACAAAGAAUGUCAUCAACGCUGCAGCAGACAUGGGAGUGCAGCGUGUGGUGUUUACCUCAUCUUAUGGAGCUGUGCAUAUGAACCCUAAGAGGAACCCUAAUCAGAUUCUGGAUGAGAGUUGUUGGAGUGACCUUGAGUACUGCAAGGAAACACAGGUCACCACUUCUACCAUAUAAAAGAACCCUUCCAAAAAUAAUUACACUAUUCAAUGAUAUUUUUGGUAAAUGAAGCACACCUUUUUAGUUAUCACAUAAGCAUUCGAUGAAAAUAAAUAGGAGACAGCGGAGUUAACUAAAUCUAAUUAAGGUAACACCACAACAAACCUUUUCUAACGUGAUACACCGACAAAAAAUUCAAGAAAGAGUGUAUUUUUGUCAUGGAAAUAUAUCAAAAUAUCCUUCAUGCCAAUCACCACACAAGUAAUGACCAUUUCUGAAUGCUAUUUGUGACAUUUUCUUGCAGAUGCCAUCUCAUUUUUUUUAUGAAAGCAUGUUCGUUGCCACAUUAUAUUAACUCUAUAAUUUUUGUGUCACUAAAUAAUUUUGUUAGAAGCAUAUAAAUAAACUAACAAUCUUUGCCAUUAUAAAUGCAGUACAUAUUUUCCAUUAUAUUGGAAAUUUAAUUUCCACUGAGAAUUUUUUGAGUGGCACAUAUAUGUAGUACACCUGCCUUAUGGGUCUAUAACUUAUGAUGAAAGUGCAUGCACAUUCCUUGACAUUAUUGCACGUUACGCUAUAGAUAAACAUGUCUCGUAAAAACCUUAUGACACGGGAAUAUAACCAUCAUUAUUGGGUUAGCACACCUGCCAUGAUUAACAUGCAUCAUAUUAUGGACUUAUUAUGAUUGAAUUAUAGAACUGGUACUGCUAUGCAAAGGCAGUUGCUGAGAAGACUGCAGUGGAAGAGGCAUCAAAGAGAGGGGUACAACUAAUAAUAGUCGUCCCUGCAGUCACGAUAGGCAGAAUGCUACAGUCAACGUUGAACGCAAGUUUAUACGGAGUCGCCACCUACAUGAAUGGCACAAAGAAGGCGUAUCCAAAUGCAGUUGCCGCAUAUGUCGAUGUGCAGGAUGUUGCUCUUGCCCAUGUUUUGGUGUACCAAGAUCAGAAUGCACAUGGACGCUACCUCUGCAUAGGUGACGUGCUACAUCGGUCGAAGUUUGUUCAAAUGUUGAGAGGGCUCUUCCCACAAUAUCCUGUCACCGCUAAGUAAAUCUCUGCACUCUGCAUUAAAAUUUCAGACAUAUAUUUCAUUCAAAUGUGGCCUUGUUUAAUCUUUUAUAUUCCUUUAGAAAAGCUAUGAAAUUUUAUAAAGCAAAGUAAUCAAAAUUAGACUGCCAACUUAAAGUUAAUCCAAUUUGAGAUUAACCAUAGAUAAAAUUUUGAAUAUUUUAAAAAAAAGUCUGUGUCAACCGGAAGUUUGAGGAUUAAUUAGUUUAUGUGUUCAGAAUUUGAAUACAAUUAUACUGCUCCCAGGUCCAUUUCUAUAUAGAUUAAACUAUAAUGAUGUCCCUGGUGUGCAUUAAACUAGAGUUCAUAUUAGUUUGAGUUGCACAGAUUUGGCUACCCUUUAUUUGCAUCUCAGUAUUACACAAAAAUAUCACUAUUCAUAUGUUCGUUGUAUGUCCUUGAUGUCUCACUGGAACGAAGGUCCAGGUUCCACAAGUGAGCCACAAGUGCAUAUUGUGGAUUUCUCCUUAAUUAUGUAAAAUAUUCUAAGUAGCCAUUUUUAUAUGUUAUUAAGUGAUGGCAAACUACAUGUAUAUACCAUUGUUGCACAGUCUUUUACAUGAUGUUUUUGACAUUUCUUUCGAAAUUUGAGUUACUUUAGGCAACGACCAUGAUAAAAAAGAGGUUUUCAUCAAAUUUUAAAAAUACCUAAAGUAAUAUUAUUUUCAUAACAUUACUAGUGCUGCUGCAAAGGUGAAACUAUUGUCAUACUCAUCAAGUGCGGUAUAGAAAAGUGCUAUGUAUUACUUCAACUAACUUUUGGUUCUUUUUCCUACUAACAACCUAAACACUCACCAAAAAAAUAUAAAAAAUAUCUAUCAUCAGAGCAACUUAGUUUGGUCCCAGCUUCCAUAAAUGAAAAGGUAGUAUUUUGAUUUACAAAUUUAAUUUCUCUUGUCUUUGUCUGCCCAUUAUUUAGAUGUGAGAACGACAGUACGCCGAUGGUGAAGCCUUACAAGUUCUCUGUGCGACGGCUCAGGGCUCUGGGUAUGAAGUUCACUCCUUUCAAGGAAAGUGCAUACAACACAGUGAUCAGCCUACAGGAAAAUGGUCAUAUCCCCAUACUGCCACAUAAGUCAGCCCUGUGAGAAAUGAGGAUAUAUAUUUAAAUAAAGGAUUUGAACAUGGGUGUUGAGUCAAUACUUUAGUUGGUAUACAUGGACUAUGUAUGAAGUAUUGUUCAAGCUUUAAAGGGAAUAACCACUCAAAUUAUUCUUAAAUAAUAUAUAGGAAAUUUGGAGCUGGUCUUCAUUUAUAAAGCAAAGGCACAAGUGUGGGGAUAGAUCCUCUAGUAACCGUAAGGAAGGAAGAAGAUAGGAUCAUAUUAGGAUUCUUGAGUAUAUUUGUAAUCCUAAUAGAACUCUUACCUUUACCUUGUAAUUCUAUCAAGACUUAUACAUUGUAACCUUUUGAGAUAUAUAAAGGGGCAGGGGUUCACAACUCAUACCUCAUACAUCCAAGCGCAUAGCGUAAUAAAUAUACUCCACUUCAAAUAUGGCGUAAGGUAUUACAUUACUCUGAUAGCCCAAACAUGUAUAAAUUUGUGUCUUAUGUCUAUUGAUUUAUCACAAGCUUCAGAUCCGAUGAUUUCCCCACCUAACAAUUUACUAUCUCAGGAAUACUUUCGGUAGGUUAACGGCUACAAAACACCAACAAAGUAUCUGCUCAGUUGGUUUCUGUGACUGCCCUUUGCUUGCUUUUGGCAAACAUAUUAGAUAUGUUGUAUGUGCUCUGUCUGUGCGUCAAACCUGCUCUUACAUCAGUAGCUUGAUUGAUCCUAAACUUCCUCUGAAAUAGCUUAUCAAGAUAUCUUUUACGGUCCUUAGAUGAUGAGACACAAAGCAUAGGGGGGGAAAGACUAUAUCACACCUAGGUGUUUAUGAAGGCCCAAAACACCCGAGCUCACUACUUUAUCGAUAGUGCUCGUCCUUCAUUGUCCAUUCCUCUUUUCUUUCUUCCGAACCGCACUGCGGCCCAGGUCUUCCUAGCUCUGCUCACCCACGAGGCCACGAAUGCCUUGCACAACUUCAGCUUUGACUUAGGAUCUGUCUUGCACAACUGGGUGCUUUGACUUAGGAUCUGUCUUGCACAACUUCAGCUUCGAGAUUCAGGUUGAACUGUAGUUUGUACACAGUAGAUUAAACUAGUCCAAAUAUUUAUAUUUAGGCACCGUUUGGUAGAGCUCCGGCUCCUAUCAAAAUGGCUCCGGCUUUGGCUCCUCUGGUGGAGUGACUUCUCCAGUGGACUGUUUUGGAAAACGUUUAGUAGUAAAACGGCUUCUCAACGUCAAUAUGGAUAAUUUUAUGGUCAAUUAAUACUUGUAAAGGGAGGAAAAGUUGGUGAAGCCACUUUUUUUGUCUCCUCCUCUUUAGUGUAAGCCGUUUUAUGGUUUCUCCUCGGUUUCGAUGGUGAAGCCGUUUUGAAGUUGCUCCUUUGGUACGUCUUCACCACGUCUUCACCAAAAACUGGUGGAGACGCCUUUUGAGAAGCAUCAAAGGUUAGUCUGCACUAUAAACAAAACUAUUCACUAAAUGUUCCUGACUUACGUCUAGUUCUAGAUCCAAAAUUUCUUAGUGCUACCAAUAUCUACCUUUAACAGAUCCAUAAUUUUUUUAGACAAGCUAUACCAAAUUGACCCAUAUUAGCCACUAGUUUGAGUGCCCUUGUGUUGAUUUUGGCAAAAAAAAAUAAUUAUCAUUGUCUUGACUGAGCCAAGCAUUUCUCUUGUACACAAGCGAUCAAUACCAGUAAAAGCCGGCAUACAUGAUACAUGUACCCCCAUAAACCUGCGGUGUGUAAAUUGGCCAGAUAAAACGCUGCUGCAUUCCUGGCAGUCUGCUCGGGUGCUGGAGCACCGUUUUUUUGAAAAUUAAGUGCUGGAGCACCGUACCAUCACAAUCUGUUGAUCCAUACCAUUGGUGUUCUCCGCGCGACGCCGUCCCUCCGGCGUCCUCCAUUCCCCGUCGCCGCUCCACCUUCAUCACUGAACGUCUUCCCCUAGCUCCGCCUUCUCUUUGCCGGAGCCACGAACCAGUUGGCCUCUCCUCCUCUUAUUCAGACGCCGUUUCUUGCCGGCCUCCACCUGAGCAGCUCUCUCCAUGUCGCACGUCGCGACGUAGCUCGCGUACGGAGGGAUGCGGGAUUGCCACAUCAGCACGUCAAACCGCUUCUCCCCGGCCCAGACGACGCCGCUGCCAACCUCCAGCAUCGUCACCGUCGGGAGCUCGCUCCGUGCCAUGCCCGUCGACUUUCGCCUGUCGUAGAACAAGCACGGAGCAUUCGGCGGCGCGCCCUUCACCGGCACGCGGGGGUAAUAAAUCCACCACUCACCGGCGCCAAGCUGCAGCACCGUGACUCCGGCGGACACCUUCAGGACGCGGCGCCAGGACCGCGCGCUCAGGUCGGCGCGGAGCGACGCGGCGAUCUUGUUCACCGCGGCGAACGGCGUGAGGUCCGGGAUGCCGGCGAACAGCGCCAUGGCGACGCGCAGCAGCUCCGGGCGCUCCUCCGGGUCGGCGCCUCCGAACGCCAUCGCUUUGAACAGGUACCAGAGCUCCUCCCGGCGCAGCUUGCGCAGCCUGAGCGGCGGCACGGUGCCCAGGCCCGAGUGCGCCUCCGUCCUGCUGAUGAUUACGACCUUGCUCUCUCCGUGCGCGCGGCGGCGAACGGACGAGCGGAACCUUCUCCAUCGCUCCUCCUCGUCCACGUCGCCGCCGGCGAGGUCGAUCACGAACAGAGAUCUAGCAGCGGUGUCGAUCAACCCUUGAUGAUGCUCAUGGCUCGGUAGAAUAAGAUUAUCACUGUUAAGAUAAUGAAUCUUGGCGAAUUUCUCUCGCACCCUCUCCUCGAGGCACGCGUGCUCAACCAGAGUCCGCUUGCCGACUUCGUGAGGGCCGAUGACCGGAAGAACAUCCAAAUCUUUAGCAGGUUGUAGCAGGAAGCUGACGAUCUGCUCCUUCUCUAUCUGCCGGCCAAACAUGCACGUCUCCAUGAACAGGUAGAAGCUGUACGGCUGGCGGUUGAGACGUGGACAGGCACCGAGGAGCACGAUGAACUCCCUCAUGUCGCUCAGCGCAGCUUCCAGGGUGUCCACCAGAACAGACAGCUCACCUGUGGCGUCACUGCCCGGAGGCAAGCCGAGCGACCGCCUCGCCGUGGCGUGCGGUCUCCUCCUGCUGCGCUCGAUGGCUCGCCUCGUGAAGGCGUCGAGCACGUAGGCGCCCCGGCACAUCUCUCCCCUCAGCUGGUUGAGCUGCAGCAGCAUCGCCCGGUUGGUGACCUGCCGCGCCUCGGCCUCCUCGACGACGACGCGGGCUCGCAGCAGCGCUCGCUGCAGCCUGACGACGUCGUCGUCGGUGGUGGUGGAGCCGGGCUCCUGGAACUUGCUGAUGAGGAAGGAGAUCAACCGGCCGACGAGGUCGCUAGCAACUGCAGACAGCAGCGCCUCCAUUGCCAAGGACCAAUGCCCCUCCCUGCCCCAGGCCCUUUAACUCCUCAUUGACUGAACAGCAAUGGACGUAUGAACGUAGUAGGAUGCUGGUUUGGAAUUUUAUUCGCCAUUGAUUAUGUGUGCGGUUACGGUUGUCACAGGUCACUGACCGAGAUGCAUUAGCCGACGACCGGGUACACCAGUACAGAAAAGAUUAGCGCCAUCUCGCUUUCAGACACACGGACCAUAUCUUUUCUCCCCUCUUUGCAAACACGCAAUGCUUGGUAAUAAGGCAGGAAAGAUAUGCUGACUGGCAGAGAAGAAACUUACUUGCUCGUUGUCCAAGGGAGGACCUCUAGGUGCUCAAUAUUCCAUCAAGGCAUUGCCACUGUAAUCUUGCCAAGAAACAGCAAUAUUGCCCGGUACAUAUUUGAAUAGUAUUUCCUUUAACAGGUUUACAAUGGAGCCAUAGUUCUUCUCAUAUAGUAGGCACGAAAAAUUCCCCAGCAUAUAUACUAGUAAAAAAGAAGAGGAACGAAGCUCUCCAAAAAUCCUUGCUGCGCUGUGCAAAAUUCAGCUGCCAGAGUAGCAGCACAAAGAUGUCCCAGGACAGGAUACGCAAUUGGUGGAUUUAUUUGGGUUUCAGCUAGUAUCAGUUCGUACAUUCCAAGCUGGCUACAUUUUGCUCCAGUGCGAGGAAAUAGCAAGCACUGUGCAAGAUCCAAGAAGUGGGAACCCACACAAAUUCUGCUCCAAGAGAGAAAUUGUAUUUUAUUUAUAUGAUUCAGUAUGGUGAUCCCACAACUGUAUUUGCCACAUAAGCAGCCCUAAAGCUUAUAGGCUUCAUAGGAUUUCGUUAUAUCAGAACUUGCUAAAGAACUCACAGAUGUGAUCAGAGACCUCACUAGGCUUCUCCUGAUUGAUGAAGUGGCUCACUCCCUCCAUAACAACAACAUCCUCCAGUUUUGGUACGCUUGCCUUGAAGCCACCCUUGUGGAUGUAAUCCUGUACCCCCGGAGUGUUGUACGUAAUAUCCAGGUCCCCAACAAUGAAUUUUGUUGGAACUUUUAUCGGAGCACCAGUCCAUGGUGCAGAAAGCUCCCAAUUCCUGCAUGAACAUAAAAUGAAUCUGAUGAGAUCAAUGCCUUGGUCAGUUCUAAACAAAGCCCCCAUACAUAAAGUUUGAAUUUGAUUGGCUGACACUAUCUGAAAUCUAAUUCAGUCAUACAUACCAACUAUUGUUUAUUAAGAUGAAUGUAUUUCAGUACAUCUGUCAUUAACUCCUCUCCUUUUUAAGUUUUGGCAAACAUUUCAGGGUGAUAGAUCCUCCUAGCAUGUGAAUUCAAAAUCAUAAGGUAUGCACUACAGAAUGUGAAACCAUUUAAACAUUUGAAGGCAUCAAACGACAGUAAAUCAACAGUAAAAUCACAAAGGUAUGCACUACAGAAUAACAAUAACACUGGCCAACAGUGAACUGAAAGUUGACUUGGCGGAUGGCAAAUAAUUGAUUGCCUGAAUAAAGAAGUAAAUUGAAAAUAAAAAUUGUGAGAGUGAACCAUAAAAGACAUACAGGUUCAUGCAUCUGUAGUAGUUAAAUCCUCCAGUAAAGCCUGUCUUUGAAAAUUUUUCUGCAUAGUAGGAAAUAUCUUCCUCUGAUAGCCAUGGAGGGCAUGUUCCGUCUGAAUCAAGUGAGUCAAAGAAGCUCUUGUCCUUGGGUAGAACAAGAGGAGCUGGCUUGCGCAUGCCAAAUGUCUUAUUAAAAAUAUACUUGGCAUCAUAUUGAGCGAAUUCAGCUUCAGCAACUCCAGGUUCCUGCAUGCAUCAUUAUGCAAUUCAGAUGCGCAAUAUUUCUCAAAAGAAAAAUCAUGUCUCAAGCGAUAUCAAUAUGCACAAAGUAUAUCAUAUAAAAAUAAAAAUCAAUAGCUGACUCCAUACAACCACACUAAGGGAAUGCUGCAUUUUAUAUUCAAAGGGUGUUACGAAGUUGAGGAUUUCAAGAGAGUGCCAUCCCAAGAGUUAUUAUUGUUCUUGAAGAUCUAGAAUGAAGAAAAAUCUUGGAAUUCAAGACCGAUUACUGAUUAUUAGACGAUGAAGCUUAUCCCCCAUCGUCUCACUGGCCGACCUUGACCCCUGUUAUUUUUGGGUCAUUCUGAAGUCACUGAGACAAUCUGAAUUGUUAAUUUUUUUACAGCUUUGAAAGACCCGCUGCUGCGUGCAUAUGCUCAGUUGGUAGAAUCCCAAAGAAGGUUUGAUAUUUUCCAAGAAGCAAUGCUAUUAACUGGUGGUUUGCUGAUGCUACUUUCUUUUAGGAAAAAUGAAAUCAUGGACUGAGUAUUUAAGCUUGUAUAAAAUGAUCUGCUAAUAAUCUCUCAAUCAAGUCUAGGGUUGCUUCUUCAUCUUCUAAAUCAAGCAAUCUCUCAAUUAGCAGUUAUUUCGUAACCCUUAUCUAUCUACAAUUCUGGAUAGUUGUUAUUGGUCACUCGCAGUAUUAUCUGGCGUCAAAUCUGUUCCUUCAUUUCGCUAUUUUAGAGCAGCCAGGAGAAUACAAAUUGCACAGAAAGUAGGCACCAAGUAAUCGUUCCAGCAUCGAUCCAACCAAUCUGCCAAAUUAAACGAGUCCAUCGCCAGUGCCAAACCUCGUCCAUUUAAUGGUUGCCAGGACAGAGGACAGAACAGGGCUACUCAUCAUAAAUAAAGGUCAAUUCUGCCUGAGUAGUGAGUACAAGUACACAAUGGGAAUGGAAGCAGAGUACUCCACUUGUUACCUGGAAGCGGCACAUGUAGUGGUCUUCCCCGCAGGCGGCCUUGAUGGUCUGGAGCGGGCUCCCCUCCGGCCGCCGCGGGUGGUACACGACGCUGAGGUUCACGAGCGCCCGCACCAGGUCCGGCCGGAGCAGGCAUAGCUGCCACGCCACGAUGGCGCCCCAGUCGUGCCCCACCACGAACACCUGCCGCGAGCAGAGGACCCAAUCCAAAAAAGAAGAAAAUAGAAGUCAACGUCGAGUAGGUGAUUGCUGCUUCGCAGCUUCGCUUCGAGGAAUCGAACGGAUUGCCGCUGCCAUGAAACCUGGGGCUGGCCGAGGUCGGCGAUGAGCGCGACGAGGUCGCCGACGACGUGGAACGUGGUGUAGGCGGACGCGUCGGGCGGGGCGUCGGAAUCGCCGUAGCCGCGGAGGUCGGGCGCCACGGCGCGGUAGCCCCGCGCCGCCAGGGCGGCCAUCUGGUGGCGCCAGCCGUACCAGAGGUCCGGGAAGCCGUGCAGGAGCAGCACCGCGGGGGCGGCGCCGCCCUCGGGCCCCGCCUCCGCCACGUGCAGGCGGACCCCGUUCGCCUCCACCGUCCGGUGCCGCACCCCAUCCACCACCGCCGCCAUCCCUAUCCUGUGCCCUCCUCUCUGCUCCAGUGCUCACCGAGGCGCCCUGGCUCACUCAGGCAGCAAGCCUGCUACCAGUGGCGCACGCGCAGCCGCCUGCUUUUGUAGCGGGGGGCCGCCGGCGGGUGGCUUUGGGAGCGCAGCACGCAGCUGGGGUAUUUUGGGGCGUGCGAGGCGUCCGAACGGACGGGCGGCGCGGGCGAGAGUUUGUGUAAUGGGUUUUUUAAGUCUAUGUUUAGUACUUUUAAUUAAUAUCUAAAUAUUCGAUAUGACACGUGCUAAAAAUAAACAAAGGGAACCAAAUGCCCCCUAAGUUUUAACCGGCUUGUCGUAGAGAAAAGGCGAUAUCAUCAUACGAAGAUAGGUGUGCAUUCGUCUGGAGAUACGAGAAUUUGUAAUAAGAUUGGUCCUCUCCAUGGUAGAUCCCUUGCAGGAAAAAAAAAUAGAAAAAUGGACUGAAAUUGUUAGCCUUUGUAAAAUGGACUGAAAAUGGACUACUUUAGGUGAGGUUGCAUUUUAUACAAGAGAUUGUACUGUUGAAUCGAUUUGAAAUUUGUACAGGUGGUUCAUGAGGUGAUACACUGGAGGGGGACGUGGGGAGGGAAGUCGAUUUUACGGUGAACGGCGAACGCUAGCAAAGUAGCAAUUAAGGUAAGUUUUUAGAGGUGGACAGUAUUUCGAAUAAAGGUACUUUCUGUGUUUAUCUGUUUUUAUAUAAAAUGUAUCCGAUAUAAAUUCAAAUAUCCUCAAAAUACUAAUGUAAAUUGGAUGCUUCGGUUUGCUGAUUUUCUGUGUCAGCGUCAGUCUUCCAUUUGCGGUGGCAAACGCUGGGCGGCAAGCGGCAUGGGUCGCUCAGACGGUCGCGUCCUGCGGUUGGUGACUUGGUGGACGACCACCAGCCGGUCAGUUCAGCUGUUAGCUCGCUACUGAAAGCUUGAGGCUGAUUGGCAAAUCCCUUAGCUGAACAAAGCAAAAGGAGAGCUUCUGGAGAGGACGAAAGAGUGGAGCAGCUUUUACAUUGUAAAGUGCUAGGAUUGGUGGUAGUAUCUCUGACUUAGCUUGGUGGUAGUACUUGGUUAAGAAAAUUGCAUACAGACGGUGAAACCUUUUUGAGAAAAUUGUAUCUGCUUUAUUUUAACUAUGUAGGAUUACAAUCACGAAAUAGAAAAGGCAAGAGAGCAGAAAGAAAUCAAACUUUUUGAGAUAGUAAAUCUUGAUGAUAAACUAGACGAGUAGUUCGAAACAUUAUAAACAAGGAACAAAAGCUAAUAAUUACAAACCCACAAGCUAAAGUCGAUCGACACUAGCUUUUUUGGUGUUUUUUUUUUUUGAAAUAGGAGAUUCUAGGUGCCUAUCAGAUUAAAAGGUCAUGUUAGGGGAUGUUUGCUAGUUUCGUUUUCUCUUAAGGCACUUGUUUCCAAGAUUAACUCUUCUAUUUUUCUCCACAACCCAGCAUGAUACGUAGUUGUGAUAUGGAGGGAUGUGAGAUUGACCGGCUAUAUCAAACAUCUCUCCAUUUUGCACAGGCCUUGAAGUAAGCACAUCUUCGGCCCUUUUCUUGUUGGUCAUGUCUCCUUGCAUCAUAGACCUUGUCUUGUAUCUGUUAUAGCAAAACAUGAGAGGACUAUCCUGGCUAAAGCCAAGAAAAUACGAUAAAAAUCUAUUGCUAGAUUGUGUUUCCCUUGGGUCUUCUCCAAAGACAUGAAUGUGCACCUGCAUUACCUUUCUUAUAGAACACAAAGCACGGCGCCAAAAUUGCACAUUCAGAUUACCUCUUAGCACCCUAGCAAUUGUUCUCGUUGUCAUAAGUGAACCACGGAUCCCCAUUGCAAUUUCCUUAGCUAUCGAGGCAAGAUCUGGAUGAUGAUCAUAUGGGUUUGCACUACCAAAGGCAAGGACUCUAAAGAAGUACCAAUGCUCCUCUUCACGUAACCUUGUCAGCCUAAGAGCUUCCACUGUCCCUAAACUUGAUGCACAAUCCAUUCUGCUGAUGAGUAUGACCUUGCUGCUGUCGACUCCACGGCGCAAUGAAUGGUAAAGUUUACCCCAUGCCACCACAUCACUGUCAUGAACAAGCUCCACGACAAUCACGGAUCUCCCACCCGAAGGAUUAAACUUCUUACAUAUAUGAUUAUCCGUGUCAGUACCAUUAGCUAGAUCCAUGAGAUCAUCGCUGCUGAAGUGCAAGAUUUUUGAGAAGUUUCUUCGCACUAUCUCCUCUCUACAAGCAUGCUCAACUAGGGUAUUUUUUCCAACAUAAAUUGGUCCAAUAACAGGAAGGAUAUCCAAAGACGAACAAGGGCUUAAUAAGAAGUUGACAAUAAGCUCUUUUUCCGACUGUCGGCCGAACAUGCACCUCUCCAUGAACAAAUAUGUACUGUAUGGCUGACGAAUAAUCGGAGGGCAAUUCAUCAAAAGUAACAGAAACUCUUUCAUAUCAUUAAGCAUGGCUUCUAAAUUGCUCAUAAAUUGUACUUGGAGUUUGUAUUGGCUCACCUCUAACAGCCCAUUUGAUCGAGAGGGCCAAACGUCGGAGGUGUCCAACAUGUAGUAGCCACGGUACAGGGACUCUCUGAGCUGCUUAAGCUGCAAGAGCAUGCCAUGGUUGGUGAUUUGCCGCCCAUCGGCCUCCUCAACGACGAUGCUGGCUCGCAGGAGCAGCCGCUGCAGCCUUGAAAUCUUAUGGGUGGCAACCUGAUGAUGAGCCUGGUAGUUUUCAACGAUGAAGGAGAUGAACCGGCUGAUGAAGUCGCUGAUCACUGCAGAUAUCACUGUAUCCAUGAUCUCUGUGUGCCAGGGAGAAAUAAAAUGAUUAUUGUACAAAUCAUGAUACAGCUGCAUACAUAUAGUCAGGAUUGGAGGGACGCAAGCUGGAACUUGGCUACCAGACAUGGGGACAGGGUAGUUUUUUCCCCCUGAUUUUUCCACAAGUGUCCCUCUCGUUGACUAGUCUUCGAAGAAGAUGCCGUUGUGCGAAAAAGAGGGGUACUUCCGUCGUCAAACUUGACGAACUUAUGAUAUAACUUUUUUCUCCAUAAUUUUGAAGGGGUAGACUUUUCAUGCUUUUUACAGGAGUCCCUCUCGUUGACUGAUCUUCAAUAGGGCGCUCGCCAUGGGUGUUCCCAGCUAUAGAUUCCUGACAACUCGAACUUGUCUUUUUUUUAAAAAAAAAUUAUUUUUCACAGCUUUCCAUUUUUGAAAAAUGAUGAAAUUAUAUAUAUAACUUUUAUGCAUAAUUUUGAUUUCCAAACUUGUUACGAUAAAAAUUAUAUAUAUAAAUUAUGCAAAAGAAACGAAAAAUUAUAUAAAAAUUAUACAUAUAGUUAUAUGCAUGUAUAACUUUUAAAAAGAAUAAUUGUAUUUUUAUUUAAUCACGCUUGCACGUAGAAAGGUUGCAUAUGCAAAGAAGUAUACUUCAACCCUCUCUACAGGUUCCCUCAAACCUCAGAUAUGGAAGUAGAAGUCGGGUGCAAUCAUUUUUAUUUAAUCAUACCUAUCAAGAUUAAUACUAAUGAAUUGCAUGCAAGACUAAUUCAACUAAAAAUUUAAGAUAACAAGAAAAGAUGAGCAAUUUAUUUAUACCUCACUAUUAUCGCCUCUCAGCCUCCACGACGACGCGACCUCGGAGGAGCAAUCUGUUUGUAGCCUUGGUAUUUUGCUGUGGCAACCAGAACCUCGGAUUUUGCAGCGACGAAGGAGAUGAACCGGCUGAGGAGGUCACCCACCACUGUAGAUAGCAGAGUAUCCAUUGCAUACGCACGCUACAAAAGAGUGCGGUGGUUCUAAUUCAACAGUGCAGAUUUAUACAGAAUUGGGUUCAGGGGGAGAAAGCAGUCGGUGAGGGUGAGGCACAAGUUCGAAGCCAGACAGCUUGAGCGGUGUAGCCUGUUGCGCAAAGGCAAAGGGAGGCGACAUGAUUUUUGUUGUCUCCCUGAAAUUUUUCUUGCUCUGACCGGCGCACCGCCAAAGACGUUACGGCGCCGGUUAGUGGCCACCGGAGCUGCGCCGCUUCCAGCCACUCGAUUUGGCCGUCGUGACUUGUGAGUUGUGGCGGCGGAUCCCACAAGACCUGCUGAAGUUGUUUUACAGGAAGACCUGUAAGUAUUUAAUUUGAAUGGGAGAAAAUAGGAGUCAGCAGUCCAUUUUUGCGUAGUCUUUUCGCCUCUCGCUGAUGAACAGAUUCUACAGCGAUACGCCGAUGCCAACAGCGAGGCGUCAAAAAAGCAAAAGGAAAAGAAAAAAAUCGACGCUCACUUUCUGGGGGGGUCCUAUAUGCCUUCCACGAGAUGUAUAAGAGAUACAACUAUAAAAGCCCAGUAUAGCCCAGCAACGGCACAUAGGAUUACGCGUGCGCAAAUUAGAAAGCAGGCUGCCGAAUCGUUGCAUGCGUGUGCCUCCGUUCCUCAAGCAGGGAGACUCGACGAUAGGGCCAAUCAUGGAAAGAGACUCAUGCUUUAUCAUUUUUUUUUUGGUUUUAUACUUCGCUUUGUUUUUUUCCUACUAGAUCACUAUGAAACGGUAUAUUCAAAAAUUUUGUUAGGCUGAAUCAAUAUUUUUUAAAAAAACUAGUUCAACAUUUAGUGAAAAUUAAUUCAACAUUUUUCCAGAAUGUUGAAAUAGUAUAGCAUAAAUGUUGAAACGAUAUCUAAAGAAUGUUGAACAUUUUUUUAGAAAAUUUCUUUAGAAGGAAUCAAUAUUUUUUUAAAAAAGUUGAAAUAGUAUAGUAUAAAUGUUGAAACGAUAUAUAAAGAAUGUUAAACAUUUUGAGAAAACUAAUACAACAUUUUUUCAGAAAUGUUAAAAUAGUAGUAUAAAUGUUGAAUCGACAUAUAAAGAAUGUUCAACAUUUUGAGAAAACUAAUACAACAUUUUUUUAGAAAAAUUUGUUAGAGUGAAUCAACAUUUUUUAAAGAAGUUGGAAUAGUACAAUAUAAAUGUUGAAACGAUAUAUAAAAAUGUUGAAAUAUUAAAAUAAACAAUUAAAAUAGUAUAUUGGAUCUUGUUGCAUUAAUUCUAACAAACAUUAUGAUUCAAAUGGAUUUAAAAUCAAAUGUAAUGAGAGUGAAAUUUGUUUAGCCUCCCACCCACCUCCCAGGUCACGACACGUGUCCCUGAAAAGCUGGUGCUAUGUGUUGACCCGUGCUUGCUUCGCCUGUGUAGUGGACGCUCUUCGCAUGUGAGCUUUCUUCCGGUAUAAUCUCGACAGACUAGACUUUGCACACAUCUCAAACAGUGGAAGAUUAGUUGAUAAAAAUCUUCCAGAAGAUAGAUACGAAUCCCGUACUUGUUGCUAUUACUUCACAAUGAGGAGGACGUGGCUAGGGAUGGUAAAGGGUCAUCUAGUUUAGCCUAGCAAAUUUAAGUAUGGAAUUCAAUAAGGAUCAAACUAUAAUAUUAUACGAUUUUAAAUUAAAAAUAGAUGGAGCUAAGUUGGAUUGUGAAAAAGAAACAAGUGUCGUUAUCCGUUACCACCUUGGACGUGGCAUGUUCUUGUCAUGGGCCUCGGCAAGGUUGAAAAUGGCCGCGUUUACUGAUUUGUGCGGCGACCAGCCCCAAGUUGCCGAGGUUGUCCACCGGACCUUUUAAGCCCGGUGCUGCACCUCGUUGUUCCAAACUUUCGAAAACUUCAAACGGAUGAAUAGAGACUGCAAACCAAAGCUUUUUCUUUCUCCAGCUUGUCUGGGGCAUUAGAACGUUGUCAGGAGGGCUGCGGCCACGGACGCCGCCGUUGGCUCGGCCGCAAGGCCCUGGGGCGCCGCCCCAGCCAACGCAUGUUGCCGCGGGCUGCUCGCGGCUAGGUGGGGGUCCUGACUCCUGCGAUUCUAUUUGGCCAGUCGCCGCCGGCGGGGAAUGGGUGACCGUCGGCCCUAUGCGCGACAGCGGGAGGAGAACAGGCAGGCGGCAGGAGGGGAAUGAGCUGGAAAAGAAUUGGCGGCACCAGAACUGUCGUUUUUGGAUGGGCUGAAUUCUCUCUUUGGGGAGAGUUGAGCUAGGAUAUUGGGAUGAACCAAAAAAUAUUGGGAAAAGAGACAUGUUUUGAGAGACUGUUGGAGCUCUUUUCUUCCCAAUGCUGGUAAUUGUUUUUUUGGAAAAGGGAGACCGGUGUGGCUGCUUAGAUCUUAAAUAUAAUCUUUACCUUAUGUAUAUUGACAAGGCUGUUUGCAUACAUGUAUACUGUGGAGUUUCACCAGGAGGGGGGGGAUGGCCCCUCCAGGCACCCCUACCUCUGUCCCUGUAGGUCACCCACUGCCGCAGAUAUCACAAUGAUCAAUUGUAUAUGUACCACUAGCCCACUACAAAGAGCGCGGUGAUGAUUCAAAUUCAGCGGUGUGGUAUACGUACCAUUGAGAUUACAGAGAGGAGAUACGCCCUUAUACAUAAACGUAGAUGGGAUUAUAGAGGGCAGGAGCAGUAGCGCACAAAGAUCAAAGCCACACAGCUAUAGCGGUGUAGCCCAAAGGUAAAGGGAAGCGACUUGGCUUUUGUUGUAUUCCUGAAUUUUUCUUAAUGGAACCGACACACGGCCGAAGAAGACGGCGCCGGUGAACAGCCACGGGUGCUGCGCCUCUUCCAGCCACUCGAUUUGGCUGUUGAUGUCACGGCGGAUCCCCCUCGAAGACCUAAGUAAUUUGUUUAGAGGAAGGGCCAUUUUAAUUUGGAAGGAAGAAAUACAGGAACAAGAGGAAUUGCAUUCCACUUUUACGUAGUCUCUCUCAUCGCCGCUCAUUACCCGGUGGGCCGCGACCCGUUCGUGUCAUGGGCCUCUCUAGCCCGCGUUUACCGCUGAUUUGUGCGGCUACCAGCCCAGCUGCCGAGCUACCUUUUUGGCCCGGUGUUGCACCUCGUUCUUCCAAACAUCCUCGAUCAACAAACAAAUCCUAAUAGGAAUUUUUUUAAUAAUAACGAUAUAUAAAUCGAAACGGGUGCAUUAAUACGGUAAAGCAAGCUUAAUUUCUUGUUCUCCACCAGCUUAUCUAGAACGGCAAAAAAAAA